UUUUUUUUUUUUUUUUUUUGUAAAUAAAAGUUUGAUUAUAUCCUGUUCAGAUCACCGUCGCGAGUUAGGACAUAUGAUAUGCUUUCGGAAUCAUAGAUCGCUUGCAGGAUUUUCUUUCAGCUCAACAGUGGGAUUCGAAUACGCAACUUUUUAUUGUUAGAAUGUGAACCGUCUUUAUUAAUUGAUUGAGCCAACUUAAUUCAACUCUUCCACAAAUUAUGAGACUCCAAAUACUUACAACUUCCCUUUUGUUUUAUGUAAACGUGGUUAUGAAGUGAAACUAGCUACAAGAGUUCAGAUGAAUGGACCCAAAAUCUAACCACUCCAGCGACAAGAUUGUCAUGGCUAAGUGAUCCAUCAUUUUUCAAGUACUAGUAUUUAAAGACUUCUGCUGUCAAGGUCAUUGAACGGAUGAUGACUAAACCGCAUCAUCUAGCCAAGGUUGCAAUAGCGCAAUUACGCAUGAUAGCUGUCGAAGGAAAUCGCUCAACUUCCUUAGAGAUUUGGCUUUUAAGGAUACUACUGGCGUUUUAAUUGGUUCGCUCUUUUCUUUUGUGACGCCAAUAACAGACACAGAUAUGACUUUUCCGGCCACCACAUUAAACACAUUGUCAAGAAUUGCCUGCCUCUCGCCGGCCACUACUUAAUGCUGCCUGCCCUGUUUGUCGCCAUUUUCCUGCAUGCCUUCGUCCCACUAUUUAGUACAGUACCUACUAUUGUCAUCACCAUUUCCUGUAUGCGCAUAAGUUUGUUCACCUGAAGACUCUUUUUUUUUUUGGGGGGGGGGGGGGGGGGGGGGGGGGGGGAGAGUGGGAUGUAGAUAUAGCAUGAGUUCUUGGAGCAGUUAAAGAAGAAUAAAAAUUUUUCGAAGCAAAUCCGACUUUGACCUCAAAAUAAAAGUAGAAAAAAAAAAAAAAGCUCCAACAGUCUGAUUUCAAUUAUGAGUACAUGUUUGAUGACAUGGCACUGAAGUAUGGAGAAGUCCAGAAAUAUACUCUAUAAUUUUGAGUGACGAAGAAAAACACGAAUUUGUUUGGACAGGGUAUUAUUUGGAAUAAUAACUGUAGUACUUUUUAUGAUGUGAUGUACGUGAGAUGAAAAGGUAGUUGAAAAUAGAAAAAAAAAUGAGUUGAAAAAUAUGUUUACGAUGCAAGCGAAAUAUUGAUAUUUAGGAUAAAUUUACUAUCCAAACAAAUUUGUAUUGAAUCGGAGCUUCAAUUAUUGGUCGAACGUAUGAUGGCGUUUGAAUGGAAUAAUAACCAAUGAUCAGUACUACUACAUGAUAUCUGUUAAACAGUAGUAGCUGUUAUCUAGUCAAAACACGGCAAUAUAUAUGUAUCAUAAAAACAAAAAAGAAACAUUUUGAUGCAUGAACGAUUCCGCGGGAUGCCAAAUGAAUUUGACAGAUUAACUGCAAAUGGAACAUGGGGUGCGCUGCUGCAUGUUCCGCUGCUUGGGUGGGAUUAUGGAUUUUUAUGCUUGUAUCUGCUCAGCUGCCUCGCUACACCAUCCAUGCAUUGCAACUUGAAUGUCUGUCCCACGCACCAUAUUGUGUCUUGAGAAUCAUUAAACAAGUCUUAUUGAUUUAAUUAGCUUAAUUCAUUGAAAACCAAACCUUAUCGCCUUAAUUUGCAAUUACCAUUGCAUUGAUUGACAAAUAAUAUAGUAUUUCUCUUUGAUUCGAGUUAUUAAUUAGUGCAAAACUUCUCCAUCUUCCUCCUCCUUUGCCCCUCUUUUUUCACGAGUUCUGUCGAUAGUAAUAAUAUACUUCUAGCUUGUGCGACUUGAUCAAUUUUCAUGUAUGUUAUCGCGAUAUUACAAUUCAGCAUUAUAAUUCAAUUAGUUGUCAAAUGGAUACGUCUUAAUCAAUUCAAUAACUUAAUUAAUACUUUCAGUACUUAAUCUCAAAUUUUCAGAUUUCAAUCUUUUCAAAUGGACCCUAAUUGAAGAUGAUUAAAAUAAUAAUAGAUUGACAGUGAUGCUUGAGAGAUAUGAAGAAGAAAGCUAGGAGGGAGAGGAGGUUGGAACUUGGAAGGAAGCUGCAAGAUCACGUGGAUAAAGUAAAGAGAGUGCAUGAGGGUUGCCUGAAUUCCAUGAGGCCCGAGAAUGGCCAACUAACCAAUCUUAAUCACCCCAAUACUAUGUUCCAAGAAGCUCUCUCUAGCCUCUGCCCCAUCGGUCCACCAUAAUUGCCACAUGAUGUUCCCACCACUCUUUCCCCACCAAAUCCAACAUGGGCUGCCUCCUCCUUCCCAACUUCUCCUCCUGCCUCCCCCCCACCCCAAGUCAAUUCAGUAAACACACGAUGCUACUAAUUGACAGCAGUGAUAAAUAUUUAGUCAAAAUUACCUCCGAAGUGAUGGCUAAAGAAAGUGAUUGAAAAGCAGAGUCUGGUCAGAUUCUUGCUUCGUCAUACAAGAAAUAAUUAAGCUAUUCACUCCUCUCUUCUGCUAUCAUGUCAAAGAAAAUGCAUCACAACAACAAUAAUGGAGCCGGUACAUGGCGUGACGAUGGUGUUCCUUGAAGUUUUAGCUAAACUGCUGCAUAAGUCGGGGUGAUUCCGUCUUAAUUCUUAUGACUUUCAAUCACAUGACAGCGAAGGAAGAGCAUGAAAGGUUCAAAGGUCUAAAGCUUCACCUACUAUUGGGAAUUCCUUAACUUAUGUCGGUGAAGAAGCUUAAUAAUUAAGUAUGGUACCCCUAGUCCGGAUUUGCUGUUAUGAGCAAAAAAGCAGGCAUAUGAUGAGUGAGUGGAGUCUAAUUUGUACCCAACAAGUACAAAAUCAAAAUUAAGCAGCAUCCUUAAUGGUACAGAUGAGUCUCAGGCACGCACAAACACCAGUGGUAGUAGUACUACUACACUACUAUUUUCGUUUGAAAAGUGCCACUAGACCAUGAUCACCUUUUGCUUCUUCUCUCACGAGUGACAUUGCCAAAAAUAACCAAAAAUAUAAAAAAUUGAUGCAGAAGAUAGAGAAAGAUUAAUUUAAAACGAGCUUUUAGCUGAGCUAAAAUCUUGUUUGACAUGUGAUGCGAAAUGCUCCUUUUUUUUUUUUAACACAGGAAGUAUCUCAGUUUUAUCAGAUUAAUCUCUUUGUACCUGUGCACCCUGUCCCUCAAGAAUAUACAAAUGACAGAGAGGUAACACGAGCACACGAUCUCGAAAUCUAAUUAGAGCACUCCAAAAUCGUCCGAGCCAACCCUAAGGUGACUAGAAAUACUAGUAUGGUAUAGAAUAAAAAAUAGAGCGGGCAAUCGGAAGGAAGUCCAUUGCAAAUUCAGACAAUCAAUCAAGUUGCCAGAUCAUCGGAAUCAGAAGUCACCCAGUGGGCACGUGCCAAGUUGGUUGGCGGGCGCACGCCACCUCGUCAUCAUCAAUUCCUAGGCGAUUCAUAUGAAUCGCAUAAUCAAUGGGCUCCUUCGGGAUCUCAACUUUCAUUAAUUACUGUCAUUAGCCAGCAGUAACGCCUUCUUGAACUCUGGAUGAUUAUCAGCACCUAAUUCUAGUUUACAACAGAAUGAGCAGGCAACUGAUUAUUAUUUUUUUCCUUUUGAUAAUAUGUAUAGGGUCUUGAUUCUUGAAUUACUUAUAAUACGGCCUGGUCUAACUCUAACCUUAGUUUAAUACAAGUAUUCUAGUACUACUAUUACUUACGCCUGCUCCCACAUGCAGCCCAUUGGCUACGAACACAUCCCAAAGCUGUUGCAAGAUCUCCCAGAUUCUCAACCCAAUGUGUGGCAUUUGGCAUAUGAGUAGAGUGGGUAUAUGCUUUGAUUGAUGGACAGUUACUUGCAUGGUUCUUUCUCUCUUUCUUUCUGAUUAGUGACAGGAGCAUGUGAAAUCUGAGAAUGCAGAGAGAGAGAGAGAGAGAGAGAGAUGGAGCGUCCAAUGGAUUUGGAGGAAUAUGAGGUCACUGUGAGGUUGGCGUCAGUACCUACUACCAGUCCUUUGCCCAACACCAACGCACACCAAGAUAGAUAAAGAAAUGAUUGCGAACGGACACAAUGAUGAUAUGGGAAUGACAAAGUCAUGGCCCAGUACACACAUACAACCCUGCUCUCUGACUUCUUUCCGUGCCCCCCUCUGAAUUACUAUUCGGUAAUCAGCUGAUAUUUGCAGUAAUUGUUGAGAAUGCAAAAACUUGUAAUUGGGAAUAGAAAUGUAGAUCGAGAUCGAGCCACCACGAAGAAAUCGAAUUAUACCAAUUGGCCAGAAAGGCCAAAUUAGCCAAAGUGGCCUCGUCGUCGUUCAUUCAAUUUGGCCGUGGUCUUAUCUCUCCAGCUGAAAUCAUCAACCUAUCCAAGUUAUGUUAUGGGAUAGGGUUGUUCACCAAUCAAGUCGCUCGCGAUCGAAUGAUCGAGGUCGAGUUAAUUAAGUCGAACACGAGUUCAAAAACAUUAAACUCAUUAACUCAUGAGCUCAAUUAUAUAUAUAUAUAUUUUUUAUUUUUUAUUUUAAUAAUAAAAUUACAUAUUAUAUAUAUCUAUAAUAUUUUAUUAUUUGUUAAAAAUUUAUUAUUUUAUUCAUUUUUAAAAAAUAAAAUAAUUAUAAUUUUUUUAUUUUUUAACCUCGAGCUCGAGUUUCAUAAAAUUAAUUGGAGGCUCGAUUCGAUUAGGCCAAAACUCGACUCGUUUGCACUCCUAUUCUGGAGACAUGUCUUCUAUAUUUAUUGUCAUCCCUGCCAAUAUAAUUAAUAUAACUGCAUUGCGUCUUUAUGAUUCUCAAUUAUAUUAAUUGGACUACUUUUAUCCGUUCGACAACUUCGCCUAACAUUACAAAUCAAGCACCGCUCAUAAUUGAAUUCCGACUAAAGGAAAAAAAACAAAAAGGGUCCUAAUAAUUGAGUAUCGCAGAGUCCACACACAAGUGCAACCAUGCCAUGCCUGUUGAUUUUUUAGGAAACGUAUUAGUAGAGCAUUUGAACACUCCUUGUACUUUAUAUAGGCUUUCAUUCCUAGUCUUUAUGGUAGGAGUAAUUGUUAUUCUUCUGGGGCCGCUCUACUACUGCCGCUACUGUGUACGGAGGAGAAAAUAGUGGGUUCAAGAGAAUACUUGAUUGUAUAGAAGCGACGAAUCAAUGUCUCUAUCGCUAUGUGAUUUCAAUCUUGGCCUGGAAUUCUGCUAUACCAUCACGGGCAUCCCAACAGCGCCUAGUUACAUGAAACCAUAAAACAAAUGGCAAAAAAAAAAAAGUUGCUUCCAUUAUAUUUUGAUUAAUGAAACAUCAAGGCACAAAAUUGUAGCAGUGUGGCACCAAAUGGACAUACUAGACAUGGAAAGAUACUUGGAAUUAAAAUGCUUUCACAAUACCCAAGUCAGACCGUGCACACACUUGCUGCAACAGAAAGCAAAUUUCAAUGGCUAACAACAUUGGUGCAUGAAGGUCAAGACUGGACACUUCUACUAGGACAUCCAGCAUUAAGAGCAAAAUCUUCAACCAUCACCAAAAUAUCAAAAUUAUGAAGCUGUAUGGCAAUAUCCAAAAAUUUCAAUACAACAAUAGAAGUUACAACACCAAUGGCUAAAUACCAAGAUCCACUACUUUCACUGCUACGCCUAAUUCUUGGGUAUGACCACCCAUAAGCAAAAACGUUCAGGUGGCGAGCUGGUAAAAAUUUUUGUUGACUAUGGAGCUCAAUUAAACUCUAUUGUGUGUUAUUGACAAAAAAAAAAAAAAAAAAAAAAUCUUCACCUUAUGCAAGUUUAUACCAUGGUUUCUCCCCUUAAAACAGAAAUCAAAUUAAUUGCCAAAACUCACUUGAGCAACACCAAAGGGCAGCUUCAUACGUAAGAAAAUGACAAAGGAUCAGUAUCUCUGAUAGAUUGCCCAGACAGCCUGUGGAGCACUCUGGAGUAGAAGCCCCAUAAGGAGCUAGUUUCAUCAAUAGCUUUUUGACCAAAUGGAUGCUGCUCAAUGUGCUUCGGUAUAUGUUCAGUUAGUGCCAAGCCUUCCAAAUAAACUCGAAGAUCACCUCCAGGUCCUGCAUUGUGUUGCAUAUUUCUCUAGUAAAUUUGAUAAGAAUAAAUAGGAUGGGGAGAAAAACCACAAAAAAGGCUAUAUCCAGAGACGAUUCAACAAACAUAGGGAAGAAAAACACAGAAACUUGGUGAAAGGUACAUACCUAGAGAAUUAUCACUCGUGUCUCUGUAGCAGUAAGAAUGAGGAAAUAUCCCAGUAUGAAUCUACCCAACAUGGUUAUAAAAAUUUAGUGCAAAACAAAGAAACUACAAAACUUGCAAUAACAUCAAAAUGGCAUCAGUGUCUCACAGGAUUGAGCAAGGCCUUGUAUGGAGAAUCAUCCACCAGUAAAGUAUUUGAUUCAUCAUAAUCUCCUUUCUCCCAAGGAAGAUCAGGGUAAUGUUUUUCCCAUAGCUUUCUCAACUCUUUGCAAACCAAUGGUUUAUGCCUAUUUUCUAGUGUUCUGAACCCUGUAUCAGUGCACUGGUACAUAUCCUGCAAUCACAUGAAAUCCCAGUUAAUGAGGUUCAAAAAGAAACCGCAAUCAAGGGUUCAACAGCAGCAUGAAAACAGAAUCAGCUUGUUGAAAGCUGUGAAAUCAGUAUACUGAUACGAAAUGCAAUACUUUCUCUUACAGGUAAACGCGAAUGCAUGUAUUUUCAUAGAAGUGUAGGCUAAGUUUCAAUUUUUUCAAUUCCAAUGAGAUCAGUGUUAUGCUGAGAUAAACUGAGUAAAUAUCCACAAAAAGCUUCUCUUUAAACUCUAUCAGCAAUAUCUAGGAAUCAUCACAAGACUGCACAAAUUAGAAGUAAAUAAAAGAUUAAAGUAAAACUAAAUGAGAUCACGAAAGUGGGCAACCUGUUAUCAUGACCGACUUUUAUCAUAUGUACCCUUGUAUAGCAGCUAGAUAAUGACUGACACAGUUGCUAACAAGCAGAACUACAAGUAAAAAUGAGGAAAGCUUAAGCAAGGCAUAACAGCAGAUUCUUGGGCCCAACUACAGACAGAAAAAAAGAGGCAAGGCUAUCACUUCUUAUUUAUUUUUUUGGAUUCUUGUUAUUUCCUUCUUAUUUCUUUAACUCAUUCUUUCUAGGUUGUUACACAAACUGUUCGUUUAUAUAACUUUCACUCUCCUCUACAGAUUUUUUUUCUUAAAAUUGACAAGCCGUGCGUGGGCUGAAAUUAAAACUUUGGCCUCAAGGAUCAAAACACCUCCCUUUACCAUAAACACAUCACAUUUCUUUAAAGUUAGACAUUUUUUGGGGUGAAACGAAACAGGCUGCAUUUAAAAAGGGCAAGGGCUCUUACCCAACAAAAUAGCAACUUAUGCUUCAGAUCUCCCAACAAGUAGUCAACCACUCUAUCAAUGAUCCUCCUGCAUAUUAUCCAUAAGUUAGUGCUCAGAAAAUAACCGGAAAAAGAUGCAUGUGGGAAGGGGGAGAAAACUUACUUAGACCUUGAGGACCAAAUUCCAACAUCAAAUCUCUCACAGCAAAACUUCAGAAAAUCAUAAUAAAAAGGUCUCUUAAAAACUGCAGUAGCAAAAGAGAGAGCUCGUCAGAUUUCAACCAAUCUUCUGCUCCUCUAUUUGGCUAAGGGAUGCUUUUUCUCGGCAGCAAAAAUAAUUCGUAAUUCUCACUUGCUCGUCCUGAGAUGUGUGUGUCUGCUUUACAGUCCAGUGGCGGAGGCAUGACUAUAUCUGCAAGUAGCCCAUUUAUAUCAAGAAUGAGGAGUUUUCUUCUUGAACAUACUGGUGAUCUUGCUGCAAUGUGGCGUGGAACAACCAGUACAUUGAGUCCUCCAUUGGCAACAUUGGAGAGAUAUUCUGCAUUGUUCGCACACUGUAAGGGAGGUAUUACUGAUUCUUUUGUCAUAGAAAUCCCAGGCCCUUGAUCUGUAGUCAUUAUUCGGUUUAUUGUACCAUUGGUUGGUUGAUUACAUGCAUCAGCCAAACUCAGAUUUGAUAAGAUAUCUGCGUGAUCCAUGCCUUGGGAUCCAUAAACACCAUCAACCUUUUUUGUCGCCUUCUGUUUCUUCUUUUUCUUUCUCAUGCACACAGACUUCUCCAAAGGAUCUGUGGUCGACACACUAUCUGGCUUUUGGGGUUCCUGAGUCAGUUUGGGAGUUGAAUCCACAUCCAAAUUGGCAUCUGGCUUACUACCCUCAGGUUUUGUGCUAAUGUGUCCAUCCACAUUCUGAUCCACUUGACCCGCGUUUUGUACUACUUCAAUAUCAGUAGCCUGUCUCUUCCCCCGUUUUCUCCUCCUCCUCCUCCUCUCCUUUUUGGAUGCUAGGUUGACUUCAGCAAGAGUUACACCUGAGCUUGUGUCCAUCGAGGCUGGCAUGAUCGUUGUGUCCACACAAUACAACACCUUUAAGAUUGUUUGUAGCCUCUGAUUCCCAAACAAAAGCCCGACUACCAAUUUAUCUGGUCGUGUGAUAUGGUAUGUUUACACAUCACAUCCACUUCCUGUUUUGCGCUGAAAAAGCACAAUAAUUUGAAUUCAAAAUCAAUCUAAAAUGAAAGAUAUGUGAUGAUUAUGUAUUCCAACAAGCUAAAGUACUCUCAAGGAUGAGACAAGGAACGAUAAUCAGAAGCAUAAAGAAAUAGAAACCAACUCUAUAACCACACUAGACAAUAUUGAAUAAGAAAGACCUCAAUAUCAGUAUUAAGACCUAGGCAGGAGCUGAAUUUUUGCAUGAAUCUUUCCCAAAAAAUUCCAGUUAGAUCUGGUGACAUGAUGUCCUUAAUAUUAACGUCGAAGACGACGCUAUCGAUAUCAAAUACACUAUUGAAUUGACAUAUUUUGGGCUAAAUAUAGACUACUCAAGGUUGACAGCGUCUAAAUUCACUGACGCAUGGAACACAACAAUUAGUAGCAGUAACGAAGAACUUGAUUUCACGUACUGAAUAAGAAUUUCAUCACAGGACAUAUUCACGUGAUGCAAUAAACCAGGAUUACGUAGUCAACAACAAAAUUACCAACACCCAGCUUUGACGAUUCUUUUCCAAUUGUAAAUCAGGCAAAUUUUAUAUAACGGUUGCAAAUUACAGAUAUAACAGGGGAUUCUAUAAUCUACACACACACACACACACGCAUGUCAAUUUAUAUACACGUUCGUAUGCAUACUUCAUUAUAGACGUAAACUUUGCACGUUGUAGCAGGUUUUGAGAAACGACCAAGAUGAAGCUCGGCUUUUUUAUCCGACUUCAGCCUGGAGAGAUUGUGUUAGGAAAUUACAGCAAAUCCAAAGUCUUUAGCAUCUGCUAUUACGAUUUACGAGUAUACAACAUAAGCCGCCGGAGUAAAUAGGAAGAAAGAGAAAGAAGAAGAGAUCGAUAUUGGUUUGAAACGGACCUGUGGGCUGGGUGCCCGGAAAAGUUGGGCGUCGGCGGCUUGGACUGUAGGGAUUCAGUUAUUCAACAAGAAGAUGGAGAAGCGCGUCGCAGGUUAGUACAACGUGUUUCGUACUCAAAAAUUUUAGAUUCCCUGGGUUGAGUGGGGUGGUUACGAAGGACAAAAAGGAAAAGAAGUUGGACUUGGACUAGAAGAGAUCAUGAGAAUGAACUGGGGAGGCAGUUAAGUAUAUUCCCAAUAGAAUAUGGACUGUCAGGGCCCCUAAGGUAAUAUGCCUAUUGUAUGCAGUACACAACACAAACAAACAAGUUUUACUUUUAUCAGAAAACAAACCAAACCAAACCGAAAAAAAAAAAAAGAAAAAAAAGAAAAGAUAGAUAGAAACAUUUUUUUCAUUGUUUCUACUUUACUCUUUUAUACUGUACUUCUAUAGUGUUUGGAUUGCAUUUUCUAAGAUUUUUUUUUGUAGAAAAAUUACUGUAACGAUUUGAUGUACGUGAGAAAAAAAAUGUAAUAGGGAAAUAUGAUCACGGAAAACGACGCAAUUUUUCCGCGAAAAAUGGCUUCACAACAACAACUUAUUUUUUACAUUAUCUAUUCUUUCUUUUUUUAAAAAAAAAAUUCUAGUGGUUGUACAAACUAAAUUUCAACCUAGUAAAAACUUAUUUGACUCAACGACUUGGGGAAAAAGACAAAUUGAUUUGAAGAAACAAUGAGACACGACCUAAUUAGGCUCAAUCUAAAAUUUGGAAGAGAGUUGAUGUAGGCCCAUUUCCCAAACAAGGCCGUGUUCUAAUUAGGCUCAAGCUUAAAUUUGACUUGAACAAGGCCACAUUAAGUUCUGGAAAAGGGUGCAGCCCAUAGCUUAUUGAAACCUGAUUCAAACAAACAUUCUCAAUUUUGUGGCGUAGAGACAUGUCAUGUUGAGAAACUGCAGAGUAAUAAUAAGGUGGAGCUUUGCAGAAGAAGUGCACGUGUUGAUCGUAAGGGUAAGCAAGAAGAGAAAAGAAAGAGAGGCUAAGCAAAGUUGCACGAGGAGUCCACUACGGGGAUGAACGUGAGAGAAUAAUGAACGGUGGCUGAUGCAUCUCUCUGUUUUGCUGAGUGGUCCACUCCUCCAGGAGGCGGAAGAGGGGAAAUCACCAAAAAUGGCGGUGGUCCAGUCCAUUCCUUUCCUCCCACCACCAUCUACCUGGAUCAUGCACCAGUUGAUCCUUUCAAAAAAAUGGGGAAAGGAAAAAGGAGACGAGAGGCUAGGGUUGGACCUCUGAUCAAAGAGAGAAAAGUGAUAUUAAAAAAAAAAAAAAAAAAAAAGGUCGACGACGUCGGUGCACACUGCACUUAGCUCACUGAUUAGCUGCUACCCCCAAAUAAAAUCAUGUUUGUUUGGGAAUCGUCUGAUUAAUCACUGAUUAGCAACAUAUAUAUCUCCAAUCACAACCGGCCGCGCCUGAGAAUUGCGAAGGUGCCACGUUUUCCCCUUGAAAAAGAGAAAAAAGUUUUCCUAGAUCAAGUGCAGGAAUCCAAGCACGGCCGUCGUGGAUGCACAUGAUUGAUGGCCUUUCUUAGCAGCAGUAAUUUAGUACUAAUAUCAAGUGAUGCGAGCAUAAUACUAAUAAAAGCCAUUGGGUGGACGCCCCGCCGCCCCCGCCCCAUUGCUGAGGAUCUCUGUCGGCCAUCCGGACGGAUUGAUUUAGAAAGAUUUGCUGCUAAACUAACCGAGAGCGGCGGAGUUCAAUUCGUGUACGGAGUUGCAACAUGUGGCACGGGCUCAAAACUCAAAAGUAGAGUAGCUCAUGCCAAUUGCCAAGCCAUCCUCUCGUAUCGUAUCAGCCUUUAAAGUAGGAAACUAAAAACCGCUACUGUCCACCUUCCCUCAAGUAUGCGUGUGGCAUGUGGCUUAAUUGGCUAGACGAGAAAAGUGUCGCCAGACUAGUCCAAUUUAUUGGAAGCAAAGAAACAUGGCCUCCAAAUUCAGGAAGCUUUAGCACUUUUCUAUACGGUGCCUCCCUCUCUAUACACUCCACCGUAUGGGACCAUGCCUGACGCGAUGUGCAUCCUGCGGGCCGCCUUCGCUUACCCGCUCCGAGGAAUAUUGUGCUUCCCAUCUCAAAGAGGGACCCAAAAAAAAUGAAAAAGACGGGGAGGCCGGGGUUGGUGGCGGCGGCACAUUGAUUGGGUCGACUUGCUUGUUUAUUGGCCAUCCCAAAGUUACCACUUCCUCUGGGCUCAGAAAAAAAAAAGUUGCCGCUUCCUCUUUGUGGGCUACGCUAGUAUGUGUUCCUCUUAUGAAAAAUGGCUUUGAUAAUUUGUUACGGUUUUGACAUACAUCAAGGUGGUAUGUGUUCUAAACAUUUUAAAAAAAGGUAGUAUGUGUUCUCCUAUUCAAUAUCCAUUAAAAGUUAAUGAAUCAUGAAAAAUACGUGUCACUCACAUUGAGUGCAACAAAAUUUCUAAAUCCUUGUAUUUUACUUCUUUUCUUCCGUCCCAUUCUGAUAGUCUUAUUUUUUUUCUCACAUAAUUUAACGUCAUAGUAUAAUAUCCAAAAAGAAUUACAGAAUCUCUCGAGAUCAUAAAAUUGAGGUGCAUGCAUGGACCACCGUGCUGGUAUUCUGUACCAGUACCUCAUGUCCUGGGCCUGUGUUUGUUUGAUCCCAUUUCCCAACUCCUACCUCAUACUUGAUGCUUCAUCUUAUGGGACCCCACAACUUUUGGAACAAAAAAAUUAACAAAAGUUAAAUUGAACAAUUUAAGGAAAAAGAUUAAGUACACCAUAGACGUACUCGGUACUUGUACUUGUACGGUUGGUACUGAACGAGGACCAACAGGAAAAUCUUUUUUUUUUUUCGGAGACGACAACAGUUAUAUAAUCCAAUUUAUUUUACACUAUUAAGGGGGAGGGAGCGGAUCUAAAGAAAUCCAUAAAUUAUGCGUGUUUGUCCAUAAAUUAUACUCCUUAAAAUUUAUUAAUUGUUAAUUGAUUUAUAGUACUUUGUCAUUCAUUGGAUAUGUAGCACAAAGGGCAAAUCUCGUACAAAAUUCUAAUUUCAGUUCCUAAAAUAAUAUUUUAAUCAUUUGGACUAAAUUUGCAAAGGAUUAGUAACCUCAGGGGAGGUCAGUGUAAUUUUUCAAACCACAAGGGGAGGUCAGUGCAAAUGUCAGAAACCUCAGGGGAGGUUUCUGCAAUUAUCCCUUAUCUUUAUGCCGGUUGACCUGCAAAUCUCACACAAGUAAUUCAAAAGAGAAAUAAUCUCCUUCCUCCCGCCAACCACAAACCACCAGAAUUAUGACAUUAUUGUUAUCGGACUAUCCUCCUGCUACAACAAAAGUAAAUUAGAAAAGCGCACCAAUUAAUUAUGUUAUCUUAACCAACAACAACAUUCCAUUGCAUUUGCAUUCAAGUUUCGCCAACUUAUUUUCAAUUUUCCGAAGAUCGUACGGAACAGGAAUACCAUACUGUCAAUUCAAUAUAUAUAUAUAUGUAAAUAUUAUCUGCACUCUUAUUAUUUAUUUUAUCAUAUAAUCUAAUAAAUAAAAAUUAUAUCAUUAAAAUGAUAAUACGAGUGUGAUUAACGAAAAUGAGAUUGCAAAUAAUAUUUUUCAAAAUAUAUAAAUUAAUUGUAAAAGUAAGUAAACUGGAUUGAUGGUGCAGUACUAUCAACUAUGGUUAUACUUGUAGCUAAUGCCAUUUUAGAUAUUGCCGAAAGUUUCCGUUACCAAACCAAAUCACUCCACCCCCCCCCCCCCAGCUCCCAACUCUUCGGACGUGGUCAAUAUCGGUUCCUUCUACUUCAACGUCAAAUUAUCCUUUUGACCAACUCCUCCCUCCCUAGUCCCUUUCUUUUCCAAAACUUUUUUAUUCUAAUGGUAUGUUUUUGGUAAGAUGUAAAAUAUUUUAUGUUGAAAUUAUUUUAUAGGAAAAGAUUUGCAUUUACGGUGUUUGGUUGCAAUUUGAAGCUUUGCUUCUAUCAUUAAAAUGUCAAUGACCAAUCGCCGCCACCACUGUUGUUCCCUGCCACCACCGUGUUGGAGAAGGAAAAAUCAAGUUGUUAAAAAGAAGAAAAUUCCAUUUACAUCGAAAGUUUUUCGAUAAUGAAAACAUUGAUUAGUUUGUAACGAGUGAAGAUUCAGCAAAUUACCUGACACGCUUUUGGGGUCUUUCGCGUCGUCAUCUGGAUUGAAUGUUCUUCUAUCAACAAAUGACAAGAGUUUCAACUUUAUCAACGGAUGCAUUGUUUUGGAAAACAACUUCAAAUCCUCAUUUAAGGAUGCUGAUUUACAUCGAAAUGAGGAAAAUAAUUUCUUGCGUAAAAUAUUUUCACCAGUUCUAAGACAACCAAACACCAGAAAUUGUGAAAAAAUAUUUUUCGGAAAAAUAUUUCCGGUCCAAACAAACACACCCUAGGCCUAGAAUCUUUUCAAAGAUAGAAAAUUCUAAAGCCAUUACAAUUCAACAUUCAACAACCACGGUGCAUCAGGAGUAUAUUUAUUGACCGGAAUAGGAAAGAACUUGUUUAGCAGAUACAAAAUGACCAACAUCACGUCCCAAUCCCAAAUACUAAUAGCUUUUGCCCACCUCACACCUUUUUUUCAUUUUUUUAAUAGAAGUAAUGUGAGAAUUUCAUAAACCCCACUCGCCCCGCUCCUCCACUUUCCCUACUGCUACUGCCUAGCGACUCCUUAUCCCCCGCCCCCGCCACCGUCCAGCAGAAUCACAUUUAUUCAUAACCUUCCCGAUUAAUGAUACUUACUUAUAUCUAUAUCUAUACCUGUAUCAUCUCAAGUGAACAUUUCCCAUCACAGAAGUACUACUAUUAUUCAAAAAAAGGGGAAAAAAAUUUUAUUUGCUGCAUGUGAUCAAUUGCUGAAAGAGCUGCUAAUGGGGUUGUGUUUUUCGCGGAGGGCGACGGUGAGGAAGAAGCAGUCGAGACGGCUGACUAACCAGUCGUCGUCAUCGGCUGGAAAUGGAGGGAGUAAUAGGUGGUCCAGGAUUCGGUCCACUAAGAAAGAGGAACCCAUCAUCCACGAGCGAGCUUUGGCUGCCGCGAUCCUCUUGCAACAGGAGUUGCAGAACUCCGGCGCCGCCGCCGCCGCGCCUUUUGAUCGGUCAACUUCUUUGAGGUAUCCCAACGGAGGAAGCGCUAAAAGGAAUCAGACCUUGCCUAGGAGUUCCAGCUCCAGAGCCCGCUCCCUUACUGAUCCUUUACUGCACCCUCAACAGCUGCUCAAUCAGGUACUCCUCAUAAUAAAUCAUCAUACAUGAAAUCCUCCCUCCCCCCCCCCCUCUUCUUUUUUCCUUCAUAGUAAUUUCUUCAUCAUGAACUUCCAAUAUUGUUUCUAACUUUCCCAAUUGGAAGGUAACUGAUUGAGGUGAUCCUUAAAUUAGUCGAGGACUUUGUUAUUUUGGCCGUUUCUUUUCAUCACCUUUCAUAUUCUUCCUCUUCUUCUUUGCAAACAAAUUACAAUCGCAUUCGAGAUAUGAGGCUCGUAUGACUAUUGUAUUCGUAUUAAUGUUCCAUUUGCAAUCCUGGAAUAACACUUUAGGACCUGACCUGAUUAAAAUCAGCGAUCAAAUUCAGGCCAACGACUAAAGCUUUGGUCUUAUAUUUGCAUCAAUGGAAAAAAAAAAGGUUUAUGAUCAUACACAUACGAAAAUUACACAGCGGCUGGUAGUGGUGGUUGCCUGGAAUAUUUGACAUUUCUUUUUUUUUUUUUUUCAAUCACAUACUUGUAGAAUUUUGUUAGUAUUUAAAAAUUUUAUAUAUUCGUUCAUGCUAAAAUUUUUGGCAUGUGGACAAAAAUGUCUUUUUCAUUGUCCUGUCUCCCCCAGGUACUUCUAUAUGUUGCUUCUUAUGGGCAAAUGUAAAAGACUAACAGUUUUGUAGUAUAUCCUUGCAUUGUAAAGAUGCCUGAUUAUGAUUCUAGAACUACAAGCAUAGAUGGGCACAUAGAAGAUAUUCCUAUUAACAAGCUGGAGUUAUUUACUGCACUUUUUUUUUGUGCAUAUUUAACUACCAAGGUAAGACAAUUGUUCCUGGAGUAAAUACUUUGUUGAGGUACUUUUCAUGGUAGCCAAAAGUGUAUCCGGUGAAAGUAUAUUAUGGCCUGAAAAAUUGAGAACAGUUUCAAAGUAUAAUUUUGCACCCUAACAAGCUAUCUCCUAAAGGUUUUCUAUUUGUCGACUAGAAUUUCCCUCAAAGGAUGGUUUUAUGGUGCUUUAUCCUUGACUUCUUUCCCAGUUGUUCAAAUUUGGCAUCUAUGGAAUUGGAAAACAAACUUUUGAUAUCCAAAACUACUGCCUAUGCACGAGGAUGUUAAUUCAGGAUUCAAGAAUUUUUUUUUUCAUUUUUUAAUUUUUUUUUUCUGGUUUCAGUUUGUAAUCUAUGUUGGGGUAAUGUUGCACAGCAUACUUCUUAAUCCUUUUUUAUUUCUUAUUUUUUUAAACUCGUAUAAAAGCUAGAUAUGCUGAUGGCUGGAAAAGAUCCGCAUUCCCCCCCCCCCCGGGGCGGAUUCUGUAUGCACUCUCGGUCAAUGCUUAUGUUUAUUCUAUUGCAUCAUUCUUAACUUGUUUUCCCUUUGCCAGGAUGUAAAGCUUGAGGGUCUUGAGACAAACCAUUUUGUCCUUGUUCAUGGUGGUGGUUUUGGGGCAUGGUGUUGGUACAAAAGCAUAGCUCUUUUAGAAGAAGCUGGAUUUAAAGUUACUGCAAUAGAUUUGACUGGUUCGGGAGUUCAUUCAUUUGACACAAAUUGUAUCACAAGUCUUUCACAGUACGUGAAGCCACUAUGUGACUUCCUUGAAAAGCUUGCAGAUGGGGAGAAGGUCAUUUUUCAGUUCCAUCAUUUGAUCUUUCCUGUCAAGCUCAACUUUUGUUUGGCUGCUUUUUGUAAUUUUUUUUAUACUAGAGCUACAAUGAUUCUUUAAUAGAAAAGAAGAGUGAAUGCCUGAAUCCCUCUGUCCAGUGCUCACUAGCUAUUGUGGGUUAGCUUGACACUUGAGCUUCAGCCCUAGUUUUGUGUUAUACCUACACAAUUCAUCUGCCAUAUUGACUGCUAACUUCCUCUGCAGAAUUGUUUGAACUUGUAAUGGAGUGAACUAUAUUCAAGUGCCAUGCUAAUGUUGUCUGAUGCAACAAAGCAUAAUAACAAACUUGAAAAGUUAGUCUUUUUUUACACAUUUGACCCCACGUGCAGGUAAUUUUGGUAGCACAUGAUUUUGGCGGUGCGUGUUUAUCAUAUUCUAUGGAGCUAUACCCCUCUAAAGUUUCAAAAGCUGUUUUUAUAGCUGCAGCAAUGUUGACUAGCGGCCAAAGUACCCUUGACAUGUUCUCGCAGAAGGUUUGUUCUUCCUCCCACCAUACAUGGAUUCUAUUUUUAAUUUUUUUUCAGGAACUCUUAGCUCAGUUAAUUAUUGCAGUACUGUAUGAAGUGUGGAUGUGGUUGUCAUAGAAACCCCCCCCCCCCUUGGGGGCUCACACACAGACACUGACAGCACAAUUUCUGAAGAAUGAUUUUCAUUCUAUCACCAUCUAGUAGUCUUAAUUGUGGAUUUUAUGCACUGUGUAUCUUAGAUAUCUACUUGACAUGCUGAAUUUGCUCUUAAUCUGCCCCCCCUUUUUUUUGGGGGGGGUGGAGGAGCGGUGUGUGGUGGUGUGGGGGGGGUAUAUUCUCACAGGCAAACUAUGGGAAAAAAGGGGACCAUUGAUAUUUGUGAGGGAAAAUGCAAUACGAUUUUCAACUACAGAGAUGGGUUGUUGCUUUUAAACAAACAAAUCCAAGUGGAAAGAUGUAUGGCACUUUUGAGAAUUAGGCAUUUCUAGAGCCAUACUGUGCUUAUGCUUCUCAGUAGCAAGUUGCAUUAUCUAUAAGCAGCUCUUGGAUUCUGGAACAGACGUGCAUUAGCAGCUAUCAAUGUCCUCAGAUAUGAGUUUAUGUGGCUAUCUUGGAUGUAAUCCUUAUAAUUAGCUUAAAAAACUCAUGCUGCAGAGGCUCUACUGGAAAUAAUGAACUCUUGAAUUAAAAAUAAGCUGUCGUUCUUAAAAUUUCUCAUAUUAUGUAUUUCAGUGCUGGUGUUCACUCAACUGUGUGCUUACUGAUUACAACGUUUCUGGGGUGCUACUGAAUUUCUGUAACUUUUGCAGACAGAUUCAAAUGAUCUAAUGCGACAGGCACAAAUAUUUCUCUAUGCCAAUGGGAAUGGUCACCCUCCAACCGCUAUUGAUCUGGAUAAGUCUCUCUUAAGGGAUUUAUUGUUCAACCAGAGUCCAUCUAAGGUAGUGUGCUCUAUACAUGGUACAGAUUUUCUUGUAAUAGAUGGCCCUGAAGGGGGAUGAGUCCUGAUAUUCAGGAAUGUUAUUUACAAUUUGCACAAAAUUGAAAUUUUUGAAUGGGAAUCUGUGGCAAUUCGCUUCUAGUAGCUUUUGACGUAGUGGGUUAAAUCAUUGUCCAGCUUACCAUGCCAAUUGGAUGGUUAGAUCAUGCUUAGGAUGACGGAUGCUCGAGUGUGCUUGCCUAGUUUAACUUUAUGGCUGUAUAAGGGAUCGUCAUGUUUCCAAUUUGCUUGGUUACUCUUGCAUGCCUCUUGCUUUAUAUCUUUGCUAAGAUGGCCGUGUUUAUGCAUGUAUGCUCUUGCUCAUGCUCGUUCUGUGGUUCUGUUCAUUUGCCAGGAUGUUGCUUUAGCAUCUGUCUCCAUGAGGCCGAUCCCCUUCUUGCCAGUUUUGGAGAAGCUGUGUCUUUCUGACGCCAAGUAUGGUACUGUUAGGCGGUUUUAUAUUGAAACUCCAGAUGACAAUGCCAUACCCAUCUCUGUGCAGGAGAGUAUGGUAAGCAAAAGUCCCCCAGAGAAGGUUUUUCGUCUAAAAGGUGCUGACCACUCACCUUUCUUCUCGAAGCCUCAAGCCCUACACAAGCUGUUGGUAGAGAUUUCAAAGAUCCCAUGAGCAUUUUUCUUUGCAUUCCCUAGAGUCCAACUGACAUGACCUGAGAAUUGGCACACCUUAUGAAAUUUGCCUCCAGACUUUCAGACAGACUACAAGCUGCACCAGACACUCUGUUCCGGAGUGAGAUAGUAAUAAAACGGUCAAUUUAUCUGUCUGUUUCUCUAAGCAAGUGUGAAGGCAAUGAAUAAAUUAUGAGAUGGGUGGCAUUUAAAAUUAUGCUGUGUGGAAUGGAAUCACUGGAUGUAGAGAGAGAGCGAGGGCUCUAGAUUUUUAUGGAGGUAAGGUGGGGAGCGGAGAAGAGGAGGCCACUACUUGUGGUUGAACAUCUUCGCCUGCAAUUGGGUUUCUAUUUCUUCCGCUUGCAAUGUCAAUCCGCUGCGGGGUUUGGCGAACUGCUUUUAAGUGCUGAUCUGUUUCAAGAAUCGAAAGGGAGUGAAACGAAAAAGGAGCAUUUGCAAUUUUUGGACGCAAUCUGAUUUGCCUUGGAACAAAUUAUUUCUGUGUCACUAAAACAAAAAAAAAAAAAUAACUUCUUCGAUAUAUUCACACACGAGUCAUGAUAAGUUUUCCAAAACCAAUUUGAAUAUCUGAACUGGUUUAGCUUUCGGUGCACACGGCGUGCUUUUUGCAUGCCCAUCUUCCAUUACCAAAAUAAUGGAGCAACGCAAGUGACAAAAUAAAUGAGUCUUAAAUGGGUCGCAUGUGAUAGCCAUCCAUAAAUAUAUGAGGUCAGGCAGACCUGGUAAAUUGGUAAUUUACAUGAGCUGUUAACUGGUAAUUUUUUUCCAUUACUUGUUUGGAUUGCUGUUUUUCGUUGAAAAAUUAUUUCGUUUUUCGUAAUCAUAUUUUUCUAUUAUUUUUUUCCCUCACAUACAUCAAAUCGUUCCAGUUAUUUUUUCAUGAAAAAUGCAAUCCAAACGUAUUGUAUUGAAUAUAAAGGGAAAAAAGAAAAGGAAAACAAAAAGUGAAUUUCUUCUUAUGCCGACAACAAAUUACACAGGGUGAUGGAAAAUCAAAGCACCUGAAUGUCAACCCAUGCCUUUGCCAAAGUCUAACUUUAAAUAGGAGAAAUGAGAUAGAAACAUGAAAUUAAGUAAAUAAUACUUUAAUAUACUGACGUUUUUCCGACUGAGUUUUUUUUUAAAAACAAAAAAAUUUUGUUUUCCUGAAAACAACUCCAAAAUCCAAUCAUUCAAACAAAGUCAAAUAGAUUACAAAACAGCUUUGAGGUAUGUCAUGAACAAAGUUUGGAAAUGGCUUAAUUUUACUUUACAUCCUUCAAAUAUAUUUGAAUUCCCACUUCCGUCUCUCUUUAAUUCCUAAAGUUUAGUCUCAAAAAAGCAUGAAAUUUGUCUUACCUUAUCCUUUAACUGUAAAAUUUGUCCCACGAUUUUAUUUAAGUGGGGCAGAACUUAGAUUUUACAGACUAAAGUGUUUUAUUUUAAAAUUUAGAAAUCGAAGUAAGAUUCCAAAUAUAGUAGAAGGGUGCAAAGUGGAAUUAACCCUUGGAAAAUAGGCAUGAUUAGUAACCAUCCACGGCCAUCUUUGUUCCUACUUGUGUGCUUUAAUAAUUGUGAGACAGAGGCCUUGGAAAUUAAUGCUACUUUAUUGAAUCACAGAACAUGGAAUUGUGCGUUUUAACAUUCCAUGACACAUUAAGCCAUAGAAUGUAGGGGUAAUUUCAGAAACCUCUCUUGAGGUUUCUAAACAUUUCACAUAGAUACCCUCUAAUAUGAAAAAUUAUACUGCCCUCCCCUUGAUUGACAUAGUUGAUGACAAAUUAAGCCCCAUAUGAGAAAAGGUAAUCUUAAAAGUAAUGAAUCAAUCUUGUCAAACAAUUAUAUUUCAAGUUUGCCCUUAUUGACCCUACAAGAAAAUGAGUUAAAAUUUUGGGUAAGAAAAAUGGCAAUAAAAAAGAAAAAUUGGCACCAAGUUGAUCCCCUUGGGACAUGAAAAUAACAUUAAAAUCAACAUUCUCAAUAGUAAAGUCUUACAAGAAUCGUUAGAAGUGCAGCGGUACCCAAAUAUUGAUAACGAUCGACCUGCAUUUGCUAGCUAUAUUCAUUUCAUUCAGAUUGUAAAAUUCAUUUGAAAUAUGAAUAUAAUUGUAAAAAUGUACCCCCAAAGUUGAGACUUGGUAGUUAUAUAAUGGUAGAACCACAAGGGCACGAAAUAGUGGAUUUAAAUUCAUCUACAAUAUUUAGUAGAAAUUUAUCUACCAAACUUCGAAAUCAAAGAUUCUAGAUGUACAAAGCACUAUAAACUAAAACAAGUUUUAAAUAUAAUAAAUAACAAGGUCAUACACUUCAAGUUUAUUGAAUACCCACAAAAAGUUGUCAUGUUGUUCGAUUCAAGCAUAUUAGGAGGAAUUGCGUUCAUAUGAUCCACAAAACAAGUUGAUUACCAGCCCAUUUUCAUGUAACUUAAACCUUUCCAAUGACUGUUCUAUCAGUAUUGGCAUCCAUAGUUGCAACACUCAUUGGAAUCAUACAUUUCAUAUGUAGCAAAUAAUUAAGAUUUUUAGGUAAUUCAUGAAGUACUUUCUCACAAAUAUCAUUCGAUAGUUCUAUGUAAGAGUACUUAUCAAGACCGAUAUUAAGAAUCCUGAUUCUCUUUCCCUUGUAGUGAAUUACAAUGUCAUAUGCAACUAUAGGUGACAUCCUAUUUUAUACAAUUAAUCAUUAGUAUCAUAAUUGUUACUAAAAUCAAAACUUGAAUAAUAAACUGAAACCUUCUUUAUCAUAUAGGAAUAACAUCUAGGAGCACCUUUCACAAUACAAAAAACUGGGCGCUGGGAGUGUUUGGAUAGCACAAAUAUUUCAAAUAAUAUUUCGCUUGCAUCAUAAAUACAUUUUCCAACCCACCUUUUUAUAUUUCCCAAUUACCUUUUUAUUUCACAUACAUCACAUCACAAAACGUACUACAGUAAUUAUUCCAAAUAAUAUUUCAAAUAAUACCUUAUCCAAACAAUUAUAAUUUUUUGUUCAUUUACCCACAUUAUAUAGGUUUGUUAUCUCGAAACAAUCUCAACUAAUCUUUCAUUCUUCCAUUACCAGCAUUUAUUGCUCGACAAGUUUUACAAGUAGUACAACUAAUAAAUUGAAUAGAAAAAUAUUAUGCUUGGAAGACUUAUUUUUCCCCAUAUUUCUAGGACUCUAGGGACUGAUUUUGUAAGGGUAUUUCAGUCACUUUACUGUUGUUGAAGAUGAUACCUGGUCACUUCAAAAUGAAAUGGGAGGGCAGUGUAAUUUUUGAUAUUAAAAGGUAUUUAUGUGUAAUUAUUAGAAACCAAUUAUUCCAAGAAUUUCUACUGCUAAUUUUUUUUGCUUUGAAUUUGAAGUACGUUACGUUCAGGCCUUUCAGUUUCAGCAUAAUAGUCCUUUGCCAACACCCCCACCCGCAACCCCAAAAAAAGUAUAAAAAAAAAAAAAAACACACACACACACACACACACACACACACACACACAAUUAUUAUUGUCGCUUUGGGGCUCCCUCAAUUUAAACCUCACUUGCUCCUUACUUCUUCUCCCCCUCCCGACUUAAAACCAAACAUCUCUCUCUCUUUCCUCUCUGCGUCUCGGCUAAGCAAAUUCAAAAAGGUAAGGACGAGUCAUAAGAAAAUUUCUAACCAAUCGAUCAUAUUAGUCAUUUUAUCCUAACCGUUCAGAUUUGGUCUUCUUGUCUCAAUCUUUAAGAGCUCUAGUAAUUUCAACAAAAUGUGAAUUUUUAUAUGUUGUUAAUUCCGACUAGUUUGAAGCUUAUUUUUUUGGCUCUCGCUGAUCCGUUUUUUAGCUUCUGUGUUUUCAUUUUUAGCAUUUGUUAAAUGAUCUGUUUGUUUUGGUUUUAGAUCGGUUAGUUUUUAGCACUAACGAUGAAACAAGCGAUUCAAUUGUAGUUGAUGCGUUUUUAGAAAUUUUAGAUUUUAGGUGACUCGCGGAAUUUUCAUGACCUGGUAAUUGUCUUUUAUCAGAUCCUUUUGUUGGAUAGAUGGUUUAAUUCGUUUAAACUGUGAAUGAUUUCUCAAUGUGGAUUUAUGUUGAGUUACUUCAAUAAUUUUCACUGCUACAAGUUUAGGAAUUGGAUCUCCUUCAACUUUUUUCGCGUAGAUUUCUUUCUCGUAGUUCAGUAUCAGUCCGUUGUUGUAAAAAGUUAAUUUGAUGAAUGUUUGUGCCACUGAUCUAUAGGGACAACUCGAUCUAGCAUGUUUAGUUUUCUCGAUGAAAUCGUAAGAAAUUUUAUGGCUUCUUGUUGAUACAGUAAGAUUACUGAAAGAGAAUGGGUCGGGGAGUCAGUGCUGGGGGAGGUCAGAGUUCUCUGGGCUACCUCUUUGGAGGUGGAGAGGCCGCUAACACUCCUCCAGCUGCUAAGACUGAAGUUAAGGCUUCAAAUGGUGAGUCUUCCACCAAGCCUGCUGCUGUUUCACAGCCUGUGGAUGCCAUUAAGCAAGUUCCAGCCGGCAUUCAAAGUAAUAACGCCAACAACUAUAUGCGGGCAGAUGGCCAAAACUGUGGAAAUUUUCUGACGGUAUGACUCUUUGCGUUAGUUCUAUGCUAUUUUAUUAUGUAUUGUCAAGUUCUUGUUGCUCUGGAAUAAGUAUUGCUUGCAUGGAGGACGUAAAGAAGCAUUACCUUACCUGGAAAGAGAUCCACAAUCUGACUCAUCUAUAGUUUGGGUUUAAGUCAGAAUCAAAUACAACAUUUAGCCUGCAAUACACAAUGCAUGUAUCAGAUAAUCUUUCGCACACAUUGCCUCAUGGGUUAAUAAGCUAUGAACAUAUCUAUGCAUUUUGAUUCAUCGUUGAACUAAUGAAUUGGAGGAGUAUUAGUAUGAUAUGCAAGUUAAAUUCCUUCUGGACAAUUUAAUGUGAAAGAGUCACUUCGCUACCCAUUACUGUCAUUCUAUGAUGCAUAGCUGAUGGGUUAGCUGACUGGUGAUAAGGCUUUACUGCAAUUUUUUUGGAUGUGUCAUGUUUAUGAACCUGCUGGAAUCGUCAAUAGCAUCUCUAGCACAAAUCCUCAUGGCAGCUGUAGAUGCUAUCAUGACUCCAUUCUGUUAAAAGAAAGAAUUAUGGAGGUUUACCAUAUUUGUCAUGUUAAUCCUCCUAGAAGAUUCUUACGUAUUUCGCCAGUUUGCGGUCUAUAUCAUAGAACACUCUCUUCCUUGAUAAGCAAACUGCAAUUGAUUUCGAGACACCAGUAUUAUCUGUUUACUAUACUAGAUCAGUUUCAGAUGCAACUUAGCAACUGCAAAUUAGCAGAUGCAACUUGUGCUCUGCCUCCACCCCAAUGGCGUACUGCCAUCCCUUGAACUUGAUAGCCAAAUAGGUUUGCACUUUCUAGAUGGUGCAUAGUGUUAAUAAUCUUAUCUUUUGAGAGCUUGAUUUGAUUGUUGAUUUAGUUAUAGUGGGUAGCCAUCAUGCUUUUGCUUGUCUUGACAUUUCUGGAAGCUGCCAAGCAUUUCUAAGAAUCAUAAUCUUCUUACUGCAGGAAAGGCCGUCAACCAAGGUCCAUGCUGCUCCUGGCGGUGGUUCUUCACUUGGUUACCUGUUCGGUGAUGGCAAGAAAUGAUUUGUACUUGAGACCUGUGGCCUGUGGCCUGUUGCUUGUGCAAUUACUUUGAAAAACAAAAAUUCCUUAUUAUUUGAUGUUUGGAUCGUGAAAUUUAUGUGGAACUGUCUAAUUUUCAGUCACUUCCGUGAUUGAAUUUGACAAUGGGAGUUAUAAAAGCAAUGCUGGAAACGAAGGCAUUUGCUGAUAAUCUCUCUUGUUUCUAUUGGAACAGGCAUGUUAAUGGAAGUAAUAUGCUAGUGAUACAUGUUCUUUUUUUGAGUGAUAUGUUACUGCUACGUGUUCAUGAAGAGUAAUCUGUUAGCAGUACAUCAGCUAUGUUCUGUGACUAUGACGCUAUGUACAUCAGCUGUGUUUUGUGACAAUGACGCUGUGUAUUGGGAGUGCAGGUCAGAAUACAGAGCGAUAGUCAGAACGAAGCGCUCUCCAAACAGAGGGUUGCUUUUACUUUUCGGGCUUUAGGCCUUCACAAUCGGGAAAGGCUGUAAAUUUGCUGCUCUAGUUUUUGUUUUGUGCUCUCCGAAGGCUGUAAAUUUGCAGCUUUCGAUUUUGUUUUGUGCUUCUGUUUUAAACCUUUACGAUCGACAAGGGAUUGUAUUUCUAUUUCUCAUUUUGCUUCACAACUGCCUAUUAAUUGCGUUAAGAGGGGAGGUAGCCACUCUUGUUUUUGUUUUUUAUUUUAUGCGGUCAAAAUGCAUGGCUCAUUGGUUUGGAUUGUCUAAGAUUGUGCUAAUUCCAACUUAUCGAACGCUAAACCCUGAAUCUGCAUUGCACUUCUAGAAUGGUAGAUUUUGACGAUUGUACAUAGGCUCUUUAGCAAGAAUUAUUUGUCAAUUGAAGAGGUCUCUUAUCACUCAAAGCAAAAAUUUAUACAAUCCAUUUCCUCUAAACUGAAGAAGUGCAGAAAUCCCAGUCACCAGCUUUGUUAUCAAUCGAGCUUCAAAAAUUGAUUGCCAAAUUUGUAUCAAAUCAGCCCCAGAUCAAAAUCUACCGCAUAGUCUGAAGUAAAAUAAACUAAAUUUCGGCACUAUUUUCGAGGAGAUUUGAAUGCCGUUCCUCCUUCAACCAAAACAGGUUUGUUAACCAGAAUAAUGUAGAACGGUUAAACCCCAAUUUAAUCCACAAGCAUGUCAUGAACACAUCUAAUCAUUAUCUUCUAUCUAUCAAAGUCCCACCCUGCUGAAUGUUGAGCUUCAGAGAUCUCAGAAAGAGCACAAACAAAUGCCAACUGAAAGUCAUAAAACACCUUCAGCACAUAUCACACACCUAAUCAACUUAAAAAUGGGCCUAGCAGACCAGAAACAAUAAAAAAGCCAAAGAAAGCUUAGGAUAUGCUUUGAACAAAGAAACUCAAAGCAUUUGUAGAAACUAUAAACCACAAAUGAAGGAAACAACAGAACAUCUACCAAAAAGGUUCUUCAAUCAAAUUAAAGUUUCAAUUUUGUGACUUCGAAUCAAAUGAAAUUCGUUCGAGACCUACAACGAAACAGUCAUAAGGAUAAUAACAACACCAAAAUUGAUUAAAACACCACCAUCUUUAAUUAAGCUACUAAUUAAACCAAAAGUUCUUUUUUUUUUUUGAGGGGGAGGGUAAAAAGCUCGAGACAAAUAAAGGUAACAUGAUGGUGACGGCGGACGCAGAAAAUUUAGAAGCCGAGCUUGGUGCGGCGCCAGUGGCGGCGCUUGGCAUUGUAGCGGAUGGUGUUGUCAGUGCGCAUGCGGAUCCAAUAAGGGAUGGGCCUGUUCUGCCUCUGCUUCUUCGCCAGCUUCUUCUUUAUCAUGAAGGUCUUGUGGGACGGCUGAUUGAACGUCCAAGAGAAACAAAACGCAUUUCAGCAGUCACGAUUCACGACUAAGAAGGAAUACGGAAAGCAAUAGAAGAGAAAGAUGAAGUCAGAGGAGCUUACCAUCUUCGGUUGCUGUAAGUUGAAGGAGAGCACCGGCGGGAGGAUGGGUUGGCUUCGGAAUAGCUGCAGAGAGGCUGAAAGCGAGGCGGCCGAGAAACAUAAACCCUAAAUCAAAUGAACAUAUAUAGUGGGACUAUAUGUACUCUGGAGUUAUGGGGCGGACUACUUACGACCUUUCUGAGGUCUUGACCGCCUGGCCCAGUUACCCAAACUCUUUCAGAUGAGCCCAAACAGGGUGUCUCCCACUAGUACUCGUAGAAUUGAGUCAAAAAAGAAAAACAAAUACUCAUACAAAAGUAAACCUCAAGAAAGUAGAGACAGAAAUUAUUAGCAAAUAUGGGAGGAAAACUUUUGUAAUGAACUAAAAAGAAUUUACUACUAUUUAUCUAUGCUAGAUCUUUAUUUUACCCAAGAAAAAAUUGCCCGUGUUUUUUUUUCACCGUGGAAAGCCUGUAAUGCUAAACAUAAUAUAAGAGCUUUCCAGAAUAUUUACCUAAUUUAAAAAAAGCAAAAAAGAGAGUUUAUGAAGCUAAAAAUGAAGGGUGUGAAUCAUUACUUAAUAAAAAAUCCAAAUAGAACAUAACAUUUAAAAUCAAUUAGUAACGUAAAUAAAUGUGUGUACCCGGAAUAUAAGGUUGUGUUUGGAUUGCAUUUUCGGUCAUUUUUCAUGGAAAAAUUACUGUAGUGAUUUGAUAUAUGUGAGGGAAAAAUGUGAUAGGGAAAUGUGAUCAUGAAAAACGACAAUAUUUUCCGACGGAAACAAGCAAUCCAAACAAGGCAAGCAUAUAAAGAACAUGUUUCUUUGGACCUCUACCUUUGGGCGUGUGCGUGCUUUUUUUUCCCCCUAUUUGUUAUUGAGUAAAUCUUAUAUACAUUAACGGUAUAUACACUAUCAUGGUUAGAUAUAUGACAUAUAUGCAAAAUUUGAGUUUCAAAUUUAAAUUCGAAUUAUAUGUCAUGCAUUUAAUGAUGAAAAUGUAUACAUUGCCGUGUAUAGGAAAUUAAUCAUUUGUUUAAUAGUAAACAUUUACCUUGUCAUGUUAGCAAUUCUUUUCUAGAGUGAAGGCAUUUGACCUCUUGAGUAGGGAUGACAAAUCCCCCCCCUGCCCCGUCCGCCGCUCCCCUAACCCGUCCCAUUUCUUCCACAGGGUUAUAUAAUUUUAUUAUAGUUAAAUUUUUGCAAAUAAUCAAGUACUAAAAUAUCAACACAUCACCAAAUUAUUAUUCAUUGUAAUUUCACAAUUGAAACUUAUAAAAACAAUCAAACAAAAGUUAUUUGAAUACAAUCCAACAUGAUGAAAUAAAUACAACUAAAGUAGUCAAGUUUUCACUUUUGGCACAAAUACAAUCACUAAUUCAUUAUUGUGCUUGUGUUUUUUUUAAGAAAAAAAUUUUAUUGUAUUAAGUGUAAUUAGGGAUUUAGUAUAAAUGUAUUAGCAAAUUUAGUAUAACAAUUAAUAAUUUGUAUUAGUACACAUAUAUAAUUAUUAGUAUAAUUGAUGAUAUCAGUUAUAUUAUAUAUACUAAUAUACAUUAUAUAAUACAUAUAAUUAAUAAUAUCAUUAUCAUAAGUUUGUAACUAAUUAAUUUAUAUAUUAUAUAUAUAUAAUUAUAUACCUAUAUAUUUUAUAUAUUUAUUUUUUUAAAACGGGUGGCGGGGCGGGGGUACACUCCCCCGAUCCCCUGCCCGUUUCUAAGCAGGGUUCCUCCCGCCCCCUCCCUAUUAGUCCCCUGUGGGGUGGGUGUCCGCAGUCACCAUCACCCAUUGCCAUCCUUACUUUUGAGCGAUCCGGUAUUUUGAGUAUUUACACCUAUGAUUCUUAGCAAUUGCACUCGCCUUUUUUGAGUUUUAAAAAAAUAGCACUAAUCUUCCAUGUUACGGAGGUCAAUGCUUUUUUUGAAACUUUAGACGAGGUGAAUGCAAUUAUUAGAAACCUCAGGAGAGAUUUAUGCAAUUGUCCCUUCUUUGAAUGCCCGCAACGGAGCGCAUGGGAGAUAAAAUUUAUAAAAAAAAAAAAACUUGAAAAUCAGGAAAGGUUCAAAGAGGUUUCUAAUUUAAUAUAACAUGAACCUGAAAGGGGGAGGAAAUAAAAAGAUACUCUUUACUAAUUUAAAAAAAAGGAAGAAACGAAUAAAAAUUCCCUCGGGUACUUGAACUACCCGCAAAUUAGGGUUUUAUCUUUCUCUGGGUUUCCUCCCUUGCAGAGCCCUUCCCGGCCCUAUCCGGCUAUCCCCCAGUGCUAUUUGCUGCGGAAGCUCAGCAAGUUUUUCCCAUAAAAAAUUAAAAAAGGAAGUUAGAUAAAAGGAAAAAUGACAACUGUGGUUCCUACUUCGGAGGAAGAUCCUGCGCUCUCCGUCGUCCGAUUCACCGCCGAGCUGUCCUGGGCUGAUGCGGGUCUCGAGGUUUUCCCCUUCUUCACCACUUCUCUGUAACAUCGUCUUAUAGCUCUUGUCUGAGAUUGCUCCUCAACAAACACACUCAUAUUAUUGAGAUUAUUGAUGCAUAUAUGUACAACCAAUAAAAAAAAUAUAGAUAUGUAUGUUUUGUAAUUUGUUAGACGUAGGAACGAGUAGAAUUUGAAUUUUGUACUUCUUUUUUAAAAUUUUGUUCGUAUUAUGGAUGCGUGUGCCAAUAUUAGGUAUCGGAGGCACAGGUAAAUAGCUUGUGCAUGGAGGCGCAGGAGUGCAUGAUUGAAGGUAGAUGGCUGGAUUUGGCUUCUCUCAUGCUUACGUCUGCUGAUUUGAUCUUUUCCAAAGCUUCCGAGAAAGGUAAUUUCUCUUGAGAAAUUAAAUAUCUAAUUAUAGCAUGAAUUUGCGAAACGUAAAUCAUCACAUUGAUUAGUAUUCUCCUUUUUUCUUUCUUUUUUUUGGUGGGUGGAGGUUUCAUUAGUAGUAAAAUUGAAUAGGGAACUAGGGAACUAGGGAUUCAAUAUAUAGAUUUCUCAAAGGAUUGCAACCUCCUGUUAGUUAUCAAAAUUUUCUCAUUGCCGAGUAUAGAACAGGAGGAACCAAAUUGUUUUACUAGGUGAGAUGACAUUCCUGUAGGGCUUUCGACGCAUUAAGCGAAGACACCUUUGUCUCUUGGGGAAUGGAAUUAAUGCUUUUCAUAAACAAUUUUUUCCUCCUCCAUUUUCUCUCUGCAAAUGUUCAUAUUGUUGUACAUGGCAUAAAAUCUGCUAUCCAGUGGCUACUUUUACCCCUUCUACUGUAUUUAAGUCUUGCUUUGUUUUUUGGUUACAUUUUCUUCUCGUGUGUUUUUCUUGGUGGUUCUUGUGCUUUCUAUUUGUCAAUUGUACGAGUGACCUAAUACUUGUUGGUUUUUUCAUCAGAUCUUGAGUGUGUUUUCACUGUGAUUUGCAACCUUGUUAAGAAGGCUGAAAAUUUUGAUCAAGUACACACGAUGGCAGAUAUCAUAUCCUCAAAAGUCACCCAACAGCCCAAUGUUAAACCUGCAUUGCGAGUAAAAAUGUAAUACACACCAUUGAUGAUUAUUUAUCAGCUUAGUAAGCCUGGAUGCUUUCUUGCACUUAGUCUUUUCUCUUUGUUGAAACAUAACAGUUUGUUCAACCUCUACAAUCUGCUGGAGAACCCAGCUAGCUGCUUCUUUGUGUACAUGAAAGCUCUUAGCGUGGCAGUCAGUGGAAAAGUCACUGAACAUGUAAUACCAUCAUUCAAGAAUAUAGAUAGCUUCUUGAGGGAAUGGAAUCUUGGGGUGAAGGAUCAGAGAGAGCUCUUCCUCACCAUCUCUAAUGCAUUGAAAGAAAAUAAGAGGUAGGAAAUGUUUCAGGUUGUCAAUUAAUCUUUUGUACUCAUUGUACUUGCUAUGACGUCUCUUGCCCAAAGUAUGUUGUCUCAUUUCAUCUUAUUUGUCUAUUUGUGGGGUCCCAGCUCUGCAAAGGAUUCUUUCAAGUUUCUCACUAGAUAUCUCGCAACCUUUUCUGAUGAAGAUGCAUAUGCUCUGAGUGAAGCAAAGGAAGAAGCAGUCCGUGCUAUAGUUGAUUUUGUGAAGGCACCUGACAUGUUUCAGGUUUCACUUGUCUGUCUCUUUGCAUUGCAUAUAAACUGGUUGUGAGGAGCUCCAAGGCUUGGUUGAAUCUGACUUUAUGGUGCAUGAUUAUUCAUCUCCAAAUGUUACAUUAAAUUUUUUCUUUAAUGUAAUUUUGAGCUGCAGUGUUACAUAUAUGCUUUUAUACUUAAUUAUCAAUUUGGUACGUCGGAACUUAUUUGUGUGAUGUGUCAGCGUUAUUGAGUCAUUUGUAUCUUGGAAUGGGAAACCUACAACUCAUCAAUCAAGUUAGAUUUUGUUCUUGUGGUCUUGGAGUACAGUAGUUGUAUUUCUACUUCCAUAGUUAUGUGAAUAGUUGAUAAACUGGACGAACUUGGCAGAUGCUAUGUCUUCUUGGAAUACAGCUAUAUGUCAAUCUUGUAGAGGGUGAAAAGCUGUAUGCCUUUUACGAAACCAAGGACCUAAUUUAGUUUGUGUGCAACUUGUACUGGUGCAUCUGGAAGUUACUCUUGCUAUUAUGUUUUGGAUAAGCUAUUUCAUUCUUCCUGUUCGGAUAAUGAUUCUUUUAUGCUUUUUCUUGCUAGUGUGACCUGCUAGAUAUGCCUGCUGUGGCACAGUUGGAGAAGGAUGCUAAACAUGCAUUGGUAUAUCAGCUUCUGAAGAUCUUCUUGACUCAGAGGCUGGAUGCUUACUUGGAUUUUAGUACUGCAAAUUCUACUUUGCUGAAAAGCUACGGUAUUAUCUUAUACGUGUGCAGUUGUGGUCCAUUUGAUGUACCAGCGUCAUGCUUUUUUUAGUUUAACUCUUGCCUAUAAUUGCUUGUUUGGAUUAUACAGGACUUGUUCAUGAAGAUUGUAUAGCUAAAAUGAGGUUGUUGUCAUUGGUUGAUCUUGCCUCCAAUGAAUCUGGCCAAGUUCCUUAUUCUUUGAUCAGGGACACACUGAAGGUGAUUUUUCAUUUUCCUUUUCUGAAGUCUAAUGAUUCUGCAACAUUUUAAUAUUUAUUGUGUUAGAUGUUGACAUUUUCACAGAUUGAAGGGGAUGAGGUUGAAUCAUGGGUUGUUAAAGCAAUCACAGCAAAGUUAAUCGACUGUAAGAUAGAUCAAAUGAAUGAAAUAGUAAUUGUGAGGUACAGAAUUUGCAGUUUUCUUUUCCUCUACUCAGAUUAACCAGUGGUGAGAUGUGAUGUUGGCACUUACAGCAGUUACUUUGUGUUAUUAUGUGAGUAGACGUGGUACAGAGCGUGUUUUUGGGCCACACCAGUGGGAAAUACUCAGAGCAAAGCUUGUGAAUUGGAGGGUAAGUUCUCUAGCUUCAGUCAUAUAAACUCCUUUUGGGCACUGCACUCUGAAAAUCUGAAAUUUAUAACCACCAAAGUUGUUAAUUUUGCCUUUAGCGGUGUCACCUUUUUUGUGUAUGGUGGUAUGCCUGUAAUAACCUUCUCUUGAUGUUAAAGCUGACGGUCAUGUUUGUACUGCUUCACCACUGUUACCGGGUUUUCCUUAACUAUAAAGUGUUUUUUGGGAUCAUUUAUUUCUGCUGAAUUUUUUGCAGACCAAUAUUGCAAACGUCAUUACCUCCAUUCAGGCUAACAAGAUAUCAGAAGACAGCACACAAGAAGGAUUGAUGAUUCGCUGAAAUUUGUUCGUUGAUCAGCCAUUGGUCCAUGGAAAUCGUUGGGUACCAGACAGAAAUGGGCUUCCAUGUGGAAAAAUCGCAAUCUCUGUUGUUACUUUUGAUGUCAGAUAACAUUUUGUAUCUUUAUAGCCUCGGUUUAGGUUAAAUUUAAAGACAGCAAAAAGAAAGGUUGAAAAUCUGUGUUGCAUGUCACAAAAUUUUGGAGUCAUUUAAGCUGUAUGGAAACAAUUUUGACUCGUGACCAUGAGUUGCUUAGUUUGAUUCAAUCGACUUCUGCAGUGUAUGUUAUUUUGUAAUUGGGGCCGUUGGAACUCUUCUCAUCCUCCUAAAUUUCAGCAUAUUGAGGGAGCUGCAAAAGCAAUCUCAUUCAUUUGUUUUAUUACCAAUGUCUUUGCGUGUCACUUGCGUUGCUAUUUAAUUAAACAAGUGCAAGAUGAAAGUUCUAAAAAGCUACAGAGGAAAAACUCUAGUUUAAGUGCAAGAGCAAAGUUCUAAAAGCUACGACAAAAGAGCACCUGUUCAUACUUAUGAGGUAUUUAUGGCAGAUUUUGAGGAAUUUCCAGAAGAGAUGUACCAUGUUUUGAAAGAGAGUUGAUGCUGGGCGGUGGAAAACUGUUGAGUACUGAUAAUUUAUUUCUACAGAAUCGAACACGUUGGCAGACAUUCGCACCAUUUUGCAUCCAACUCUUGUUAUUAUGAAAGGCCUUGUGUUUUCUUUUGUAAUUGGUAGAUGCGCAUGGCCAGUUUUUCAUACAUCAUUUCUUCAUCGAAACUGGAAAUUGGUUCACUCACACCAACAAAAUCUCAUUUUGUUCCGAAAGGUUACACGGGGCAAUCAGUGUAAGUAAUUGUUUCUUUCAUAAUACACUAAAUAUGCAACCUUUUCCUGGUUACAAACGGUAAUAUGAACUGGUUGCUGGGAACAUAAGAUAUGCAAGUUCUGUCCACUUUUGCUUCCAGUAGUUUGUUGUUGAAGGAUCCUACUAUUGCACUGUCGGAAAUUCCAAAGGAACCACAGAUGAUCUUAGCUCAGUUCACUUUUUGGUGAACUGCUCCAGUGCACUUCAUUCCAAAGUUACAAGAUCAGUGUCGCUUUUGGGUGCCUGUAAUUGCCUCCUCACUAAUGCAGUGUAAAUUCCAUCCCUGUUCAGCAGCUCUUCAUGGGUGCCACUUUCAGCUAUCUGGCCAUCAGAUAUGACUGCAACUGUGUCAGCGCUUUUGACAGUAGAAAGCCUGUGUGCUAUGACCAGAACAGUCCUGCCUCUCAUUAGAGAAUCCAUGGCAUCCUGUACAUAAAUUACAAGUCAGCGGAAUAUGCUGGAACUGGUUUGGAGACAUGAAAAAGAUGCAAAAUGAUCCUCACAGUAACAUUUACUUAUGGUAUGAGAAAAAUAAUGCAGAACUACUAGCCACUGAACACAAAACACUGAUUAUAAAUGGAGAAGGUACUGAAAAUUUUAUUAAGACUUUAACAUCAACUCACGAAUGACAAUAAAAUAGCAUUGCCCAAUUUGGAACACGAAUUUUAGGAGCAUAUUAAUCAUAGAGUUUUCAUACAAAAAGGAAUUACGACAGGAUAAUUAAUCUCACCUGUACAAGGUACUCGCUCUCAGCAUCUAGAGCACUUGUUGCUUCAUCCAAUAGCAAAACUCUUGGGUUCAUCAAGAGAGCUCUUGCUAUCGCAAUUCUUUGCUUCUGGCCUCCUGAUAACCUCAAUCCACGUUCUCCAACAACAGUUUGAUAUUUAUCAGGAAACGAUGCAACAAAAUCAUGUGCAUUAGCCAUUUUCUGCAGUAUUUAAUCCCAUUAGUAUUAGUCAGUGACUCAAAUGCCCAGGCAAAGAAAUCACAACAUAAAACAAAAGCAUGAAAUAGAAACACGGAGGUACUUACAGCAGCAUUUUCUAUGUCUGUGCUGCUUGCUUUGCCAUCAAAACCAUAUGCAAUGUUCUCUUCUAUGGAACAAUUAAAAAGAACAGGUUCCUGGCUCACUAUACUGAUCUUUAAGUAGACAUGCAGACAAGAAGCACAAAACUUCAGUGUAUUGGGGGACACAAUGUUAUUGUGUUAUAAAUUGCUCAAAAAACAACCUUAAAGUGUUUCUGAAACUAACUUCAGGGAUAGCAGGACUAGAAUACCUUCCUGUGUAAAUACUCGUGUGAUAUUUCAACCAAGGAAACUCCAUUAAGCAAAAUCUUCCCCUUUAUUGGGUCAUAAAAUCUCUCAAUCAAGUUAGCUAUAGUUGUCUGCAAUCAAAAUAUGGGAUUGCUUGAUGAGAUAAUAUAUCAAAAAGCUCCUCAGAUGCAGAAAAAGGCGCCUUCACAGCAAAAAGAUAAAAGAACUAGGAAAAUACCUUUCCUCCGCCACUUGGACCAACCAGGGCUACUUUUGAACCGGGUUUCAGUUUUAAGGUUAUUCCCUGCAUUUGUUACAGAACAUACUCAACUGUAAUCCAGACAUGAAAACAUGAAUGUUUCAUCAUCUCUCCAGGAAAAGUGUACAUAAAUUUUUGUCAUUUUGAUCUUGAUAUAUACUAUCAAUGAAAAGACUACUCAAAAAAAGCUUUCGAUCUAAUCUUCAUGAAGAACUCAAACAAAGCAUCAUCUCAGGAUGAAUAUAAAUUGUAAAUAUAAGAAACAGACAUUCAAUAUCUCACUGCUUCAUCUAAAUGUGAGAAAUUUUAGUUCAUCAAGGAAUGUCAUACCUUGAGCACCAUAUGACUCGGACGAGAAGGGUAAGCAAACCAGACAUCCUCCAAUGCCACAUCUCCAUCUGGAUUGCUGAUCACAAGACCAAAUAUCAAAUUAGCACCAAAGCCAGAGAUCCUAUGCACCUACAACGGGAUUCUUUCUUCUAGUUUAGGGUGGUUUCUGAAAGCGGAAAAGGGCAUGUUUAUGGGGAAAAUUCAACAAUCUUUACGAGGGAAACCCCUAGAAACACUUAAAAUUACUUUUCCAACAAACAGGGAAAGGAAAGAAUUGUAAAAGUUUGAAAUGGGUCACGGUCCCCCACCGUGGUUCCUCAUCUUCACGUUCCAUUCAUCAAAAUACUGCUUUAGGGUCUUGAUAUGGAAAAUCACAUGUUAAUGGAAACACUUUAAAUCUAGAUUGUUAUUUAAGCAAGUUUUCAUGUAUGUCCAACAGACAAGAAGCUAACCCCAUGGGACAUUUAUCUCCUGCUUUAGGCAUGGUAGAGACACGAUCUAAAAUUUGAAAAACUCUCCUACUUGCACCUGCUGCUUUCAUAGCUGUUGUAUAUAAUCCUGAUAAUGAUGAUAUUGAGGACCCAACUGCACAAGGAGUUUUCAGUCAAUAAAGGCAAUGAUAAUGUGAAAACUUGAAGCUUUACCAUGCAACAUUAACUGUUGAAACCAUUUGAAAAAUGCAAUAUUCUGCUGCAAGGCUAUGGAGAACUUUUGGAGCAGGUUAGAUCAUUUAAGAUAAUAAAUCAUCCAACAAGGUGUCCUCCUUCCAUAAAAGCCUUUACUAAAUUAUCCAUGCUUGGAGUUUUAUCCAGCCUCUACUAGGGUCAUGUAGAUACGAAAUGGCAUCAGCUCCAAGUACAACCUGCAUAAAUAUUCCAGGCUUGGAGUUUUAUAAUUUUCACCUUUACUACCUUAUCCAGUAUCUUUCCCAUUGACAGUCUUUCCUAGUUAACCUUAUCAUUUGGAUAAUGAUAUUAUUAAGGUGUAGAUCUAGCUUGAUCUUUGCCAAAAAUAAAUAAAUAAAUAAAGGAAACCUUUCAGUAUGGAAUUCUAGUUUGGUCCUCAAUAGUUGAAACAAGAUCUGACUGUUAAGUAGGGACUUUUUUUUUGGGUGCAUUCAUGAACUAAUAGAAGUUAUCAUCCUCCAGUUGCCAGAUGUCUAUGUAAAACACUUAACGUAAAGAUAACUUCUGAGUAAAUCUUUUAAAUAUUUCUAUCACAAAGAGAAAAUAAACGAUUUCAUAACCUUGGAUAAUUUCUUUUGGCUAUUAAAGUGGAAUGGUAUCAAAUAAAGAACAAGAGAUUUACCUGUGAGGCUAUAGAGAAUGAAGGAUGUUAGAGAUCCAGUGGUCAUGGAGCCAGUUAUUGUCAAGUAAGCUCCAUAUAUCACCACUACUAUGACAGAUAAUGUUGAUGCAGCAUUGAGUCCUCCAAAGAAUAGUCCAACCACUUUCUGUGAUGGAUAAUUAGUUUGAGAAUCAGACAUCAAAGGUACUCCAUUUGUGCAUCUAAAACUAACAACAGAGGAGAAGUAUCUGGGCUAUGGAAUCUUUUGUGAGUACAGAGUGGAGAAAAGAGACUGACUGCUUGUCGGAGUCCAAGUUUCAAUGUCUCAUCAACCUUCUCAGAGUAACCUGCUAUUGCAUACUGUUCUUGGGCAAAAGAUCUCACUGUACGAAUGGCCCCAAAUGAUUCCUAAAGGUUAACUAACUAGUCAAACUAAUUUGUUGUCUGUUGGUAAGUUUUACACAAUAUCUCAGUCAAACACAAUAAACACAAACCUCGGCAAUUGAGGCAGCGACAGCUGCUGCUGCUUGAGUAGCAUGUGAAAGUUCCCGAAGAUAGCGGCCAAAUUUACGAACACCAACUGAAAUAACAGGCACGACAGCCAAAGCCAGCACUAUAGAACAUCACAGAAAAUCUUAGUAAGCAACUGCAUACAGAUUGGAUACUGCAGCACAGAUGAAAGACCAUUAAUCACUAACAUGUUAACUUCCAAGAAGAUGUGAACAUGAAUCCAAUUCCAAUGAUUGCAGUAGUCACAUUUCGUAGUGCCUCUGAAAGAUUGGUAGUUGCAGCACUUUUUAUGAUUUGGGUGUCUUCAGAUAGCCUGCUGAGAAGCUCGCCUGUCCGCGAAACAUCGAAAAAAGCUAUUUCCUGUGGAAUUUUUUGUAUCAGCACUUUACCAAUGUCCAAGUUGGACACAAGGAACAUCAAUUUUGAGGUAUAAGUGUCAGAAUCUUCCAAAUCUAUACCACCACAGUAAUUUGCCAUCUUACUGUCUCAACCACCACAGUAUAAUGUUCUUUACUAAAAGAUUCAUGGUUCUCAAAUUUUGGCAACCAAUUUAUCAGGAAGGUUGUGGAUUGGUACUAUAAGAUGCAUGUAUUUCACAAAGGUAAUGAACAAUGGGAAGCCUUACUUGUUGGAUAAGGUGACUAAAUAAAUUCUUCCUUAGACGAGCAACCACCCUUUCACUGGCUGAUGCAAAUAACCAAGACCGAAUUGCUGUUGAUACCGAACUGAACAGAAUAGAGGAUGAGAUACCCGAGAAGUGCUCGGAAUAAAAGAUAGCAGUGAAAAAGAGGUUGAUGAUGAAUGAGUGCAGGUGAACCUCAGCUUAUCUAUUUUUAUGAAAAAUGAAAGCUAGCGCAUGGAAAAAACACAACAGCCCCCCACCCCCUCCCCUCACCCACCUCCCUGAUAUUAAAGAUAAAUUUUGAUCAGACCCCCUUGAUAUCUAGAGAAAAAAAACAGAUCUACUGCAUCCUACUGAAUUCACAAAUUAUUUGAGUUAAGCAUAUAGAUUAUCAGUUCAAACUGCUGAAAUUAUACCAGAAUGCUAUCAGGUAUACAUGUACUCAUGUUAAGCCUUGAAAUUAAGUUCGUUAUUAAAAGCCCACUUCUCCAAUCUUCACACUUGACUAGGGAAUUGUAUUUACAUUAGAAAUACUUGUGAAUAUCAAUUUGGUUGUGAGGACAACAGAAAUACCCAUACCCGAUGACAACUAUUGAGAUGAUAGCUAUAAUUGUGUUCUUGAUGGCAUCUAGCGCUUCAGCUUGCUGUUCAGGAGUCCUCGUAUCCCUUGCUACAAUAUCUAUAAUCAUGCCACCAUACUUUGGCUGCAACACAAUACAAAUAUGGUUAAAGAGCAAUCCUACAAAGUUUGAAAAUUGGCAAGGUUUUUUGUCAAGAGAGCAGGAAACUGUUAUGUAUGGAGAAACUUCAAUCUGGCUUAAUUUUGGAAGAUAGCUAAUCAGAAGAAGUUUAUGAUCUGUACUAAUAAAAGGAAAAGAAAUCCAGCCAGGAGGAAACUAUACAGUAUGGGUUGGUAGAACAGGAAAAAGGAAACUUGAACUUUGCUGAACAGGGCAUGGAAUGGAUGAUAUCUCAAUCCUUUAGCAACCAUUCUUAGAACACUGAUUAGCAGGGUUAUCAUCAAAACUGGGAAUGGAAUAAUCAAGAUGAGCAUAUAUUAAGUGCAGAGUUUUGCUGAAGGAUAAUGAAUCAGUACGCAAAAUACCGUACUAUGAGAAUGCUUGAUGUGGAUGCUAUCAGCAAUGCUAUAGUAGCAACAAUUAAUUUUCCAGCAUCUGGCUUUGCCUACACAUUUCAAAGAGACCAUGAAGUGUUAGUAAAAGCACCAAUGAGACUCCAUUCUAGUCAUCACAGCUAAUGCAAGACUCACCAGAGAAAAGACUCUACCGAAUCCAACAUUUGCAGCCUGAAUUUUGCCACAGAAUUUGAACAUUAUUAGAACAAACCUACUACAUAGUGCACAAAGAGAUGCAGAAUCAAGGAACAGAAAUGUAACUACCUCUAAUGCACCAUGCUCCAGGUCUGUCUUGGGAGCAUCAGGGGAACCAUCCUCAUUUUCCUUCAGUCUAGCCUACAGGUAGAAAGGUAAGUUAAGCCUGUCAAAUUUAAGAUGAACAAAUAAACCGCAGUUAUGUAUCUGAAGCACUUGAUAAUCUACCAUGCAACAUGAUUUCUCAUAUAGCAUUCAACAGAUACAACAUUAAUAAUACCCUUCACCAAAAAAAAAAAAGGAAGAAGAAGAAGAAGGCAAAUUUGAUAGGUAUAUAUUACAAGGAGGACAACGACCCAUUCUUCUAAUUCAGGAGGGACGAGGUGCAUUUUGUAAAGUAAGCAAACUGUGAAAUGAUAAUCAUUUCCAGUCAAGUGUCCAGAUCAAAGUCACUAUAGCUUCCAUUUGUGUCCAGGCCAAUGCUGAUGCAAUACAAAAUGAAAAGAUUAGCCAUUUCCUAGCGUGAAGGAUCUACUCUCUGAUCAGCACAAAUCAGUCGAUGAACAAGGCUAGUCAUUGUUAAGCUCUGGUAUCGUGAAAUCAGAAUGCAAAGUUUCCAGUAGGGAUAUUUCAGGCGAAAUACCUGUUCCCAGGAUUUCUAGAAGAAUAAACACAACAAAACACCAGUAUAAAAGCUAGUAAAAGUUUAAAGCCAAAAUUCUCAAGUCAUGAAGUUCUUCAUAUAAGUACUAUCUCCCUAAAGACCGCUGUGUAUUAGGUUUGACAAAUCCAAUCAGACUUAGCCCUUGAAGCAGGUUAGACCGUACUGGCCUCCACCAUGUUUCACGCACCAUGUGUAGCUGCCGGUGCAGAAAAAAAGCACCAACCAAAAUUGGCUGCUGCAACAUGCCUUGCCAAAUGCCCCAAAAGUAAGAUAAUGCAAGCCAUCGAGUAAGUCGACAAAAUCACGGUACUGCUACAACAAGAAGCAACACGAAAUUUCACAUAGCAAAAGGGUACAAUGCGUGAUCAAUGAAUCAAAACAAAAUACACCAGAUGAUUAGAGGAUCCCCGGAACAAGUAAAACAGACAAGGAAAGACAGAAAUUUUGAUGAAAAAGCUUGCCUGUUUAUUCAAAAGAGAGACUCUUUCGCUACCAGUGGACAUGAUAGACUUCGACGUCCAAUCCAAAUGCUGUUUCUUCCCCAUGAAAAGUAAUAACUGAAGAAGCUAGUUAAAUAAUCAAAUACAAUUAAAGGAAAUUCAAAGCCAAAGAAUGAAUGUUCCUUUGGCUUCCUUCCCCAGAAGAUAACUAGGAGCUGACCUAAAUUAAAAUUCUUCCAAGAAAACCAAUAGAAAAAGAAAAUGAAAACUUCGCGGACUAUGGAAGCUACGCUGACGCAAGGAUUAUUACUGGGUCAAAAUCCCAUCAAGGUAUCCUAUUGAUUCUAGAAUUUAGUGAAUAAUAAUCCCACCACCAAACCAAGAAUCCUCCUCCUCGACCUGAAGGGCAGUUAUAAUGCCAACACACAUUUUAUAGAAUGUAAUCAAAUGCUACCACCAGAACGCUAAUACUCAUAGAGAGGUUGAUCUCUCACUCACUCUCAGGAGUUGAGACGUUGAGAUUUUCACGUGCUUUCGGGACCAAACACUAAUCAAUCAAGGAAGAAACGAUUUUUGCCUCAUUCGCCCCCUUUUUGACUUAACUUUCAUUACUUGAGGCGGGCUUAGUACCAAACUUUCAUGCAAAGUGUUACGGGUCGAUGCGAGGUUGGUUUCUUUCUUUUGAAAGCAAUAAUAAGACCUUUUUUCUAUUCUUUUGAAAGCAAUAAUAAGACCUUCGUCAAGUAACGCCUUGCUGUCUAGUCCCAGAUAAUAUGGUCUAGUUCUCACCUCUCCCCUGUCCCCCCACAAGUCUCUAUUCCUUAGUAAUAAAAAGUUGGGUGUUUUCGCUCCGGUCAUCACUGUGGUUUAAGUUAUAAAAAAAGUCUGAGUGUUUUCACUCCGAUCGUCACUGUAGUAAUUACUGAUCAUUCUCGUCAAAAUUCUUAUAGUAAUUACUAACACAGUUUUCGCGUGUAUUUAAUUAUUUUAUUUUUUUUAUUUUCCUGCCACGAUCAAAACAUACUCUCGAAAACAUGAGUUACUUACAAAAGCAAUUGCUCGUCAAUAAUAUCUACCAAUGCAGUCCUCACGUCCUAAAAGGAAAAGAAGCGGUCCAUGCCAAAUCCUAUCAAGAUAAUGCAGCUCUACUAGAAAAGAUGUGACCUUUUUUAAUCAUUCACCCCAUGAUUAAUGAUUGGGGGCUUUAUUACUCUAAUUGAAGCCUUGACUAUAGCAGUAAUAAAUGUUAGUACAUUAUCCCCUAUAUGAGUCGUAGCUUAUCAAACAAAACAUAAUACGGUAGUACUAACAACAGAAUCCACGGGUUCCGUUAUCAUGCAGGGAAGGUUUCAACUAUGAGGAAAAGAUACAGGAAACGAAGACGAGGACAGAGCAAAGAAGACAAGAAGUGAAGAAAUCAACUUUAGGCGUGGGUGGGUGCGUGGGGGUCGAGUCGUCCUGUCGUGGCCCCAUGUGACAACAACUCGCGAAAAGUGCCUUUCACGUACGUCUCUUGUACCUCAUCGUCCUUCUGAAGCUCUCAAUAUAAUAUUCACUGUUCUUUAAUGCAAACGUCUUUUUCGGGGCGUGAUUGAAUCUAGGAACCUAAUUCCACGUCCGCAAGACGGCAAAAGUGAAAGUGACAAUUACCAGAUCGUAAUUCUGCUUUUAACCCGCAUUUUCUUGUUUUUCCCCUGUAAUUUAUUUGUUGUCAAUAGACUCGAAUCUUUUAUGCUCUCGAAAGAAAAUUUUACCACUGACGAAAUCUUUUUCGUCAUUAUCAUGUACUACUAAUUAAUUGUACGGACUUCGUUUUCUUUUUAUUUAUUUAUUUAUUUAUUUUGGGUUCUGAGGAGGGACCAAAGGCUCUGUUAAGUACUAGCCUAGGGCACUAAUAAUUUAUGUCUUCUAUCGUAAAAGUCUUUGUUGGUCCAACAGGCCCGGAGUACCAGGUUCAAGCAACAAAAAAAUAAAAUAAAAUAUUCUUGUAUGGACGGUGAUCACGGAAAUCUUUCACACCCAGUUAGAACUAAAAAAAAAGGUGACAUGCGCGGUUCACGGUCAAGAUUUGAUCUAAAAAAAUUGUACGAUCCAGAUCAUUUAUUGUACUUCAUUUUUAACAAUGUAUAUGGGAUCCAUAAAAAUUUGUUCUAAAAUUACACGUUAUGUAAACAAAGUUAUGCCGUGUGUAAAUAAAGUUACGUAACGUAUAAAAUACACAAAAUCGCCGGAAAUGCAACCGUUCCUGCCUGUGGUCCAAAACAUUGGUGGGAUGGAUGAGUUGUCUUUCUGUGUAUUCCAGUUUCCUUUGGAUAACUUGGAGUAAUAGUACUUUUUUUAAAAACUUUUUUGCUUUCCUCUCACUCCCAAGUCAGAGGCUAAAGCAAUUUCUUCUUUCUUUCUUUCUUUUCUUUAAUUUUGAUAGACUAAUUAACAGCUCCUUUUCUAAUAAGAUUGUGAAUUUUUAACGUGGUUGUUUAUUCUGUCAACAGUUUGUUUCACUCUUAAAAAUGUGACUAAAUUCUUGGUCGGCAUCCACUUUUCUAGUCGUACCUGGACUACGAAUUUCAUUUCCCUGCCAAAUGUUUCUAGGUGGGCCGCGUGGCGCUCUUCCCUGAUGUCCACUGCCGCUCCCAAGGCCCACGUUGAUCACCCUCCUGAUCAGACCCAUAAACCUUUGCCGACAAGGCGGAGUACAUUCCAACGGAGUAGCCCAAAAUGAGCUCGGCUUUUGACCUUAAUAGCCUGGUUUUAGAACGGCAUUGAAUGGUCAUACUCACAUCACAGCGGUCUGCAAUAAGAACUUGGGCCUCGGAGCCUCCAAAGCCCAUUAAAGUCUUGGUUUUUCCUCUCCACGGAAGAUCGAAUGUCUUAAUUUACAUUGGAAUCAAUCUACCUGAACAAUAAAAAAUUUCAUGCAGGCUUUUCGGCCUCCAGCCCAAAGAAAAAAGCUCAUUUUCUUUUUCAUUUUACUUUGGUUUUAGUUAAAAAUCAUCCUGUGGGAGUAGAUAAAUGAAACCCACGCGUAAAAUGCAUUCUACUACAGUAACUAAACAAAAACGCAAAUUCACAUAUGAUAUGAUAGCCCUAUAUAUAAAUCUAGACUGGAAUCGAAGUUGUUGCGGUUUUCAUAGAUCAGUCUUUAUUAUAGGCUAUAGCUGUGCUGUGAUGGCAAAGUGGAAAAUAUUGGACUAUGACUUUAAAGUUUAUCUCCUCAAACUCAAAGAGUUUAUCUCCUCGAACUGAGUCAAGUCGAGUUUUCGAUUAAUCGAGUCGAGUCUCGAUUUAAUUUUAUUAAGUUCAAACUUGAGUUUGAAUUCGACGAGUUACCAAUUGAGUCGAGUUUGAACUUUGAACUCGAGCUCAAAAAAAUAAAAAAAGUUUGCCAUUUUUUUUUUCAAUUAAGUACUGAUUAGGGCUGCAAACGAACUGAAUCAAGUCGAGUUUUUGAUUAAUCGAGUCGAGUAUCGACUUAAUUUUAUUAAAUUCAAACUCGAGUUUGAGUUCGACGAGUUACCAAUUGAGUCGUGUUUCGAACUCGAGCUAAAAAAAAAAAUUAUUUUUUUAAAAAAUAAAUAAAAUAAUAUUUUUUCUUAAUAAAUAAUAAAAUAUUAUGAAUAUAUAUGUAAUUUUAUUAAUAAAUAUAAAAAAUAAAAAAAAUAUAUAUAUAUAUACUCAAGUUUUGAAGUUGACUCUUGAGUUAACGAGUUUAAUAUUUUGAAUUCGAGCUCGAGUCGAGCCGCUCACUAGGAUCUCUGUCCGUUUGCUACGUUAGUACUAACGAUUAAGAAAAACGGAAUAUGUGGUUUCAGCUUAAUAUAUGAAGCUUCAUCAUAUGAUGGUAUAGAGAGAGACAGAGAGAGCUCCAAAAAAACAAGAUAUAAAUAAAUAGUAAUUUGCAAAGAAUAAAGGGGAAUGUAUUAGAAAGUUUUUUUAGUACGUAAUAGCGACACGCAACCAAACAAGCUCAGAAAUUUCUCCCCACCCACCCGAUGCAAUAACAAAUCAAACGACGGAAGAAGAAAAAUACUUACUGUCUACUACUAAUAUACUCCAUCUAUUCAGAAAAGCAUUUGCAGGGCCAGUUUAAGUUUCGCGUUUACUUUUACUUUUGGAAGCUUCUUAUAAUUUAUUAUUAAAUUAAUACUAGCUAGCUUAUUAUUAGUAAGCCUUUCUUUCCUCCUCAAUUAAUUUACUUGUAACUUUCUCAGAAAAAAAAAUAAAGGAAAUAAAUUAUUGUCUCCAGAAGGCAUUUCAUUUCUUCGCUAGGAGAAUCAAUCACUAGCAGCAAUCGAUCAAAGUCCCAGUGUGCCAAGACCAACUCAAAUGCAGCUACCCCACAACCUUAAAUUUUGUAUGGUCCAGCAGCAAGAAUCAAGCAGCCGCCUUCGUUUCGUUUAUAAGCAUAGUCUGUGCACAAUUCCUCUGAAUUUCUGAGAAUAUUACGAGACAUUUCAAAACCAAGAAUGGGUGGAUGGUGUAACACAUCAAAAUUAUUUUUUCUUCUUCAAAAAAAAAAAAGGGAAAGGAAAACUUCCAAUUCUUGGAUAACGAAGACUUGCAUGCACGAGUUGACUGAUUUCUUUCGCGGCAGCUUCAUUUAGGCUCCCGCAACAUUCUAAUGAUUUUAUAGUACUCCAAGCAACUUGAACAAGGAAAAAAUCCAUUCUUUGCCAGUACCAUUUCUGCAAUCAAUACCUGAAAUAUGCUUGUAUCCAAACUAUCAUUUCUUUUCCUCUUCCUUCUGCACUUCUAUUUCACAACCAUCUCUGCCAGUCAUAUCCCAGUUCUUGAUAACUUAGCCAUUUCCAGCGGUUCUUCUGGCAUCUUAACUGCAUCCAAUGGCCGCGUUUGGGUUGGAGAUACCGGUUCCAAAUCUUCCACGUUGCUGCAAUUGAGUGGCAAAUCAACCAAGUCAAGAGUCAACCACCAUCCAGCUGCCUCCGUGGAUGCUGUCCCCUACCUGACCGCACGCAUAUCUCAUCACCACUUCACCUACACAUUCCCCGUCAAGCCUGGCCAGAAAAUCAUCCGUCUGCACUUCAACCCUGUUUCAUACAAGAAUUUCAAGAAGUCUAGAGCUUUUUUUUCCGUCAAAGCCGGUCCUUACACCCUUCUCAGCAACUUCAAUGGUUCCCUUGCUGCUGGUGCUUCAGGGGCUGGGCAUUUUACUAGAGAAUUCUGUGUCAAUAUAGAGGAAGAUGAACUAUUGAGCAUAACGUUCUCCCCAGAUCAAGGAAACGAAGGUUCUUCAGAUGACCGAUAUGCAUUUGUCAACGGUAUUGAGAUUGUCUGCAUGCCUGCUGGUCUUUAUUUCACCCCGGAUGAUGGCCUGGGACCCUUUGUCGUUGGCCAGAAAUACAGAUUCUUCAUCGACAACAGCACCGCACUUGAGAUGAUUCAGCGGUUAAACAUUGGCGGAAACUCCAUUGCAUCUGUUGAAGAUGGAGGCAUGUUCCGGUCAUGGGAUGAAGACCUCAAUCACUUGCCACAAAACGGAAGCCUUGUAAUUAAAAGGGUCAUUCCAAUCAAGUAUACGCGGGCACCAUCGUAUAUAGCACCAAAGAAAGUCUAUCAAACUGCCAGGUCAAUGGUUCCACAUACGAAUUUGAGAAGGCGCAAUCUUAUGUGGAAAAUACCAGUGGAUUUGGGAUUUAGAUACUUGAUUAGGCUCCAUUUCUCAGAGCUUGAGUUGGGGAUAACGCAGUGCGGUGAGAGAGAGUUCAGGAUUAUCAUAAAUAAUCAAGUCGCUGAAGAUAAUGCUGAUGUCAUCAAAUGGGGUGCUGAACAUGGAGUUGCAGUGUACAGGGACUAUGUUGUGCUGAUGGAGGGAGAUAGGAUGGAAGGUAAGCGUUAUCUAAACAUCACCUUCCAGCCAAAAUUGGUGUUAAGCGGUAAAGAAACAGAUGGGAUCCUCAAUGGGAUGGAAAUAUUCAAGUUGAGCAACCCUGAUAACAAUCUUGCAAGCAUGAGGACCAUAGAAUUUGUACGGAGUUCCAGAUCUCAGAAACAAGAGGACAAAAAGAUACUGUCUUUUGGCCGUAAGAAUGCAGUUGCAACGGCGCUGACUGUCAUAAUCACUUUGUUGAAUGUCACUGUGUAUUAUAUCAGGCGGCUUUCAGAAACUAGUGCCAGGAACCUACGUUCGUCAUCCUCAGAAAAAUUUUGCCGCCUAUUUUCAAUUCAUGAGAUCCGAUCAGCAACCAACGAUUUCAGUCAUGAAUUCCUCAUUGGCAGUGGUGGAUAUGGUAGAGUGUAUAAGGGAAGCAUUGAUGGAGGAGCUACAACCGUUGCAAUUAAGCGAUUGAAAUCAGAGUCUAGGCAAGGCGAAAAGGAGUUUUGGACAGAGAUAAAGAUGCUAUCCAGGCUCCGCCAUGAGCACCUUGUCCCUCUGAUUGGUUACUGCAAUGAAGGUCAAGAGAUGAUACUGGUAUACGAGUAUAUGCCAAAAGGAACAGUUGCUGAUCAUCUUUACAAGAUUGGUAGGCAUGGUGGUUGUGCUCCUCCUCUCUCUUGGGAACAGCGGCUUAAGAUCUGUAUUGGUGCUGCACGUGGUUUGUACUUUCUUCACACCUCUCGACAGAGGGUAAUCCACCGGGAUGUGAAGAGCUCGAACAUUCUGCUGGACGAGAAUUGGGUGGCUAAGAUUUCAGACUUCGGCCUGUCAAAGAUGGGAGCACCUAACGAGUCAAUUACACAUAUGAGUACCAAUGUCAAAGGGACAUUUGGCUAUUUAGAUCCAGAGUAUUUCUUGACUCGCAAAUUGACACGAAAAUCUGACGUGUAUGCUUUUGGAGUGGUGCUGUUUGAAGUGCUGUCUGGAAGGCCAGCUGUGGACUUACGACUUGAAGAGGAGCAACACAGCUUAGCUGCGUGGGCAAGAUACUGCAUAAGAAAGGGAAAAGUCGAUAACCUCAUCGACCGCAAUCUGAUAGGACAAAUCUCCCCAGCUUGCUUAAAGGUGUUUGUUGGAAUAGCAGGGAGGUGCGUGGAUACGCAUCCACAUGAACGGCCUGCUAUGGCUGACGUUGUCAUUCCCCUUGAGUUAGCAUUGGUGCUGCAACAGAGCCCAGGUUCCACAGAACAGGCAGAAGAAGACGAUGAUAUCAACAACGUUGCAAGAAGUUCCAGUGAACAAAGUGAUGGUGUUUUCUCAUUGGAUGAAUUAUCUGUUAACCCCUCCAAUGGAGGAAUGGAGCAGAACGUCUCCAAAGAGCUUUCAGGAGCUGCUCCUGGAACAAAAGAAACUUAUGUUCUCAAGAAUUCAAAGAAGGAUAACAGUUCCAACAAUGCAACAUCAUCAAGAUGGUGGUGGGAUCCAUUUGGGCUUGUGCCAAGAAGUCCAUCAAAAACGAAAGCUUCAGCACUACAUGAAGGGCUCCGCCAAUUCCACAUCCAAGAGAUACGAAAAGCCACCAAUAAUUUCCAGAACAGUUUCAUCGUUGGCUUUGGAGGCUUGGACAGUGUGUACAAGGGCCUUGUGGAUGAUAUCCCAAGAAUUGUGGCGGUCAGACGAUCAAGCAGUAGAGAAUCAAGACUUUCGAUGGCACGUGAAUUGCAAUCAAAGAUGGAAAUGGUCCCUUCACUAAGACAUGCUCAUGUCGUAACUCUGAUCGGUUAUUGCAAUGAUGAACCUGAACUGAUGCUUGUGUAUGAGUACAUGGCCAAUGGAAGCCUCCAUGAUCAUUUAUGUGACCCUAACAAGGAUCCACUCCCAUGGAAGCGGAGACUUCAAAUCUGCAUUGGCGCAGCACGAGGAUUGUCCCAUCUCCAGUCCACUGUUAAACUAACGAAUCUCCACCGCAACUUGAAGUCAACCAACAUUUUGUUAGACGAGAACUGGGUGGCCAAGGUUUCAGACUUUGGGUUAUCCCGAAGAAGAGGUGUCAGUGGUGCGCAUACAAUUGUUAGAGGUGACUUGGGUUCUCUGGACUCAGACUAUAUACUGGAUGACAGAUUAACAGAAAAAUCUUACGUAUUCUCAUUUGGCUUGCUACUGUUUGAGGUACUCUGUGCCACUAAAGAAUCAACUCAUUGGUUGGAUGAGGAUCAUGUAAGUCUGGCUCAGUGGAUAAAAUCAGGCAUAAGAAACAACCUCUCUGGCAGCAACAUUGACCCAUACCUAGCUGGUAAAAUAGCACCUGAAUGCUGUAGGAUAUUUGCAGAAACAGCCAUUAAAUGUCUGCUUGAUAAGGGUUCUGAACGACCAUCAAUGAAUGACAUAGUGGCAAGUCUUGAGGCUGCGCUUAAGCUGCAAGAAGCGUCAGACAAUGAUGAGGGUGUUUAAGUGCAAAGUAGCUGACAUGAUAAUGCAGUUCAGUUUUGUAUGAUGUUUACCAAUAAUGUUCACUUCAUUCUGUAAUUAUGUGUGCUAUUUAAUGCUAAUUAAGCUUGUUGUACGGAAAUUAUACGAUAGAUGGGAUGGUUACAAACAUCUGGGCAGCUUAUUUUGAAGCAUCAAGUUUAACUGGCUAACAUGCCUGGUUAGAACUCGGCAGAAGAUAGUUUAGAAAAAUAAAAAGGCCAUGUGAAUUCUAUUCUAUUGGAUCGAGGAAUUUGAUGAAAGAUUUGAAUUCAAAUCGCUUUAAUUGUUUGGAUUGCUUAAUAGGCAUUUGAGUUUAUAACACACCAACUAUUAAAAUAUAUUUUAAAUACUAGAAUAAUUGAUAAUUUAUAAAUCCAAAUACCUCCUAAAUAUAAUGUAAACAAGUAGAGAAAUUUGAGAGAAUUUCUUAAAUUCUUCGUUAGAUCCCCCAAUCGAAACGCAGCCUUGUGCUAGUUGAAUUAUUUGCAUUACACGCAGUGAUCUGGGAGAUGCAAACUUGCGGAGUCCAUACUUUCAGUGCACAAAACCGGGACGAUAUUCAGAAUUACAAUUCACCUAAAGACUGGAAAAUACUCCCCCAAUGAAAUAGCCUUCUCGGCUUGAUUUGUCCAAACGUACGUCUUCGAGCUAUCCCGCACGCUUGCAGCGAUUGUAGGCUGUACAUGGUCUAUUAUUCAUAUUAACUGGCACGAUGCAAUUAGCAUACUGAGCUGCAUUGCAAACUGCCGGCCGCCGAAGAGCGCCGUAGGAAAUUGCCUGUCCUUGUUGGAGCAGCAACCUGCCACCUGCAGAAUAGUGCCAGAGAGACUCCCAAUCCUCCUCAUUUCCCCGGCUGCCGAAGAAGCAGUCUGCAAAAGCGCCAUUGCACGACACUCGUGCAUUGUUGAGCAUAUAAAAAGAAGCUGAAGCUCCUCCCAAGUCUUCUCCGAGGCUGAGCAACAAAACGAGGGAAAAUAAAACUGCUGUAUCUCUUUAAUCCCAUUGCAGCAGUGUAUGUAUGCUAGUAUUUUCUUGUGAAGCUUCUGUCUGAUGAUCUCGUGGUGAUAUAGGAUUAGACCUGUAAAAGGGGUCCAGGAAGGUCGCUGACUACCACAGUGAGUAAUACCAUUGAGCCACUUGAUUGCGGACAAAUAAUACUGCAACUAUGCAGGCAUUCUUAUUUGUUGUUUUGUCCCUAUGCUGUUACACUUAAACUGGCUAAGAAUCCUUUCCUUAUUAGUAUAUUUUGUGCUCCUUUAGGAGAAUUAAGAAAGCUUAUAGUGUCGGCUAGCGAACCCUUUUCUUAUGAUUCUACAUUCUGCAUGAUUGAUGUCGGCAGAUGAUUCACUUGAUUCCAAAUUUACCGAAUUUGUCUGUAAGCAAGCUUAAAUAGUAGUAGUACUUGGCUGUCGGCACAUCUGUUUUCUCCAAGAUUUUUUUACGCAACCAUGGAAAUUGGUUGCCAUCAUCAAGAUCAUUUCAUCAAUAUUGAUCUCACAUCAGAGGUUGUAUGGCACAGUUCAUGAGCAACUGCUUCUUUUAAAUUCCGUAUCAAUUAGGAGUACUAUCUUCUUCUCAAAGUCGUGGAGAUAUAGGCGAGCCACAAGAUACAAGGGAUCAGUGAACAUCUUAACUACUAACACCACCAGUGCUAUUAAAAUGUAAAGUUAUGCUGCUAAUCGCUUGCUGACUACAAGCACAAGAAAUAACAACUAUUAGACCAAGUCAUUCCCUUGUCCUUGUGCUUUAACAUUUCAUGUUAAGAAUGCUCCUGCUCAGUCUUGUGACCUUGUGCAUCAUCACAAGUGCUGUUCUAGUAAUUGUAAGCAAUUCAUUGCUGGAAAAAGCAAUUUACAGGGAACAAAGGGGUAUUCAAUUUUCAACUAGUGACUUUAUUGAUCGGUUUAUCUGGAAGACAGAUUGGAAACAGCAUUUGAACUUGUCACGUACUUUCACAGAGUAAAGAUCAGCCACAAAUCACUACACUUGGCUCCUUACUCUUUUAAACCCUGGCCCCAACAACCCCCCGGCCAGGGGGGGGGGAACUUACUGAAUUUCCAGAAUGACAGAAAAGAACAGCUUUCUGUAGCUAAGUUUGUAUUGUGUAACUCCAUGUAUUCUUUUCUGCAAAAAAACCGUCUACCGAAGAAGCCCAUGGGGCUGAAGCACAUAGUCCCAAUCAAACAGGACAGCCUGGAGGAGGUCUAACCCAAUCCAUAUAUGCAAGAUCAGAUUGGAAUGCAAACAACACUAUAAUUUCAUAUGUCUUUAAACAGUUUUCCAACAUCACACGACGGAAUAGACAAACUCUCACUUAAGAAAAGAGGAAAAUAUUCAAUCAUAUAAGCACAAGACAUGGAAAAUGCGUAGGCUCAUCUAAAAGAGGAAAUAAUCCAGAAGUCUUUUUCAAAAAAUUUUUUUAAAAUUUUGGGUAGAAGUAAUCACAAGUCAUUACUGAAUAUCAAAAGGUGCUGCGUAACUUUAAGUUGCCCUCAAAAUCCAUGGUAAACCUCAACUGAAGAUUAAACCCCCAUCCUCAUCAUCAUCGUUAUCAUGAUCCUCAUCCCGGCUGAACUCUGAGUAUUCCUCCUCAAGUGAUGAAGCAUUGAAGAGUUCACCAGCUUUGCUAUCAUUGUUAGUUGGCAUUUUUACUGAACUAUGGGGGUUCCCUUUAUUCAUCUGUUUCGCAUUGAAUCACAAUAACCACAACAAAUUAGCACAGCAGUUACAUCAAUGUCCUGAAACUAAAAACAAUUAGCAUUAAGCAGCACACUUGCAAAUUAAUGGAGAAUCUGAAUCAACUAAUUCAAUGACAAGUCGAACUGCAUGCAAUCCAGAUUUUGUGCAUUAUCUUACCGUCCGUAGGAGAGUUCUCCUCUCUCUCUCCCUAGCAUUCUUGAUCGCCUAUCACCAAAUAAAAAGAUAAUUAGCUUCUAAAGGAACAAAAUCCCAAGUCCAAACCUCCAGCAUUACGGAGGGAAAAAUUCUCUGCUCAGUAAACAAACCUCCUCUAGUGUCUUCUGCUCAGUCUCCUUUUCUGAGAGGUCUCUGCAAUUUACAGAAAAUCAUAAGUUCCUGAAAAAACCCGUAAUUGCUUUCCUCAAACACAUAGUCACAUAAGCUUAUACACAAUCCUUUGGGUGUAACAUCUGACAUGUAUCUUUUUACCUCCCAACUAUAUGCCCAACCCGACAUGAGCACUUUGCGCAUACUUUAUUCUCCUUAGCACAAGCUGGUAAUAUUACAAAGCAUUUCAGCCAAGCAAUUAAGAAUCAAAUAUUACUCAACACACUACGACAAACAUUUAAACGAAUCAGUAGAAAUGCGAACAAAGAAUUUUGAACCAAACAGAAAGGUUUAACUAACCAUUACAGAGAUUAUGGUGAGCUUGUCGAACAGCCCGCUUGGAACAUUUCUGACUGAAUCCCAAAGAAUAAGAUUAUAAGUAAAUGAAUCCCGUAGCCAAAAUUGAGUUGCGCAUCAAUAAUUCAAUACCAAUCUUUUAGUACUACAUAAAUUUAAAGAAAAGAGAAAAGAGACCAGGUAAGUAAGUACCAUUUAGCGGGCUCAGUGAGGGGUUUGUAUUUGCCGUACUUGCGCUUCCAUUCAAUCUGUUCUUUACAUCUCUGGCAUACUCCGGUUACCUCUGAAUAUGGCCGGAACUUCCCUCCUAAUUCCUGCCAUCAUUAGUCAUAGCAAUACCAUUACUUUUUUUUCUUUUCCCAAACGAAAAUAAAGAGGGGAAAACUUGUAGAGAAGGCGGUGAACAUUACGGUUUCGUUGAUUUUAACACCAGCCUUGGGCUUCCAGGCAAAUUGAUUUUGGUGCUUUGGGGGACCUUUUCUGUUGCUCAUCUUUUGUCUCGCCUCUUUCGCCGCCGACAAAAGUUUCUUGGUUCCCCGGUUAAAAACCUAUCGAGCGGUUGUGAAUCCGUAAUUUGUUUAACUACAAUAAACCCCCAGUCAUGAAAACCUCAUUUCACUUUGACCCCUAACUUUACUUUGUUGCAGUCUAUCCAUCUUUAAGACAGAAAUACCCCUUCGAACAUUUGAUGGCAAGUGCGAUUUUUUUUUUUUUUGCUAGCAAUGAUAAUAGUUUGUAUAAUUUAUUCUAACUAAUCUGAGGGGAGGAGAAGGGAGAAGGGAGAAGCCACAAAUAGUGGCUGGUGAGAGGCCAUGAUCGAAUCCUUGGUAUUUCACCUUCACCAAAACUUAAAAAGACGUCUUAGUGACCAACACCCAAAGAGACUGUUAGAUGGCAAGUGCGAAUUGGACCUUUUAAUUUGCAAUUCAAGCCUUAAACCUUUAUGAAAACGCAUAUUUUUUUUGUCUCUUUAUAUGUGAAAAAUCUCAAGCCCCAAACCUCUCUAUCACCCUCUCACCCCCAUUUCCUCACUUCCCUACCACCCAACUCAAGGUACCAUUGCUCGAUGCAUCUGCAGUCUUUAUGGAGGAAGAAACUGAAUUUCCUGCCACGUCUCCCUCAAGGAUGAGGAACAAAAUGAGGAAAAGAAGACUAGUAUUCGCCUUGAAGCUGAAGCUCAUGAUUUCCCUUAACCAGCUCAAAUUGACAAGCGAAUGACAAAAAAGAAAAAGAAACUUUUUUGAGCGAUUCAAAGCAAUAUUAAUAAUUUCAGGUUGUUCGAAAGCUAAUACGGAUAAUGCGCGUCCUCUAUGCUUCCAUGACGCCUAUGCAUUGAUGCGUCUGUAACUAAAUAGCUCCAGAUUUAGCAUUACAUUCGAGAAAUUCAAAUCUUCUUUACGUCAUAAACUGGGGAUCUUUGUCUGCAUCUUAAGAAUGGCUUUGAAGUGUCACUGCUGUUACACUGAAAGUUGUUCAGAGGAGCGCACCAUAAACCUUGUCUGGUGUCUUUGCAUCCCUACUGCAGACCCAAACGGUAAAUGGGGCCAUACCCAAUAAUCAGGUGCUUGAGCGAAACAAAACUGCUCGCUUAACGACUGGACUUCUCUCUGGCGAUUGAUUGCUCACGGGAUAGUAUUUAGGUCGACAGCUUAGAAGCAACUGACAAUUGACAAACAACCACAACCCAAGAUAUCAUGAAACAAAAUUCUUUCAUUUAAGCUAGUGAUUUUUUCCAAGUACAUCCAGUACAGGAGUAUACAAAUUCAUCAGAAGAAUUAUAUGAUCACAUCGUCAAAGUUAUUUGACAAAAUUGGCAACCGUGCACUUUCAGUUUUAAGGUUGCCAGGUCUGUUGCAGGUAAUACACGCUUCCACCUUCCCUUGCAUUGUCCCUUCCCAGAGUAAGCAUUCCUCCAAUU
rnacentral:lncRNA from 1 species